rnacentral:lncRNA from 1 species
CUUUUCUUUGUAACCCAAAUCAUUCCUUUCAGUUCCUCAACCAUCAAUCAAUCUCUAAAAACUGACCAAGAAUUAUUCUAACACUUUUUAAGGAACUUGUUCCCACUUGACUAUGAGCAUAAUCUAAUUUUUAGAUGCUCCGAAUUAUCUUAUCAUGAGCUCCAAAUACUUUAUUUGGGUUCCUCAUGUUUCAUAAUAUCUCCAAGAAUUUUUCCUGAAUUUUCAGAGCUUUUGAAAUAUUUUUCAUGAAUUAAAUAAUAAUUCUGGACUUUUCUAGAAAUAUCUUAUUCACAAAAAUAAUUAAUUUCGGAAAUAAUAAAUCUUUCAUUCUACCCCAACGCUGAGCCCAUGAUCUCAAAGGCCAAGGUAUUUAUUUACUAGUGGGCUUUAAUAAUUAAUUAGGCCUAUUAGUAAAGGUGGAAGGGGCAACAUCAAUUAGUACCAUAUUGCUAAUUGAUGUAGUUGUGGAGAGUUUUCCUCCAUAUAUAUAUAUAUAUAUAUAUAUAUGUACCAACCCCUUAGGUUAAGUACAUCAAAACUACGAGGAGCCCCUAGUUUGGGAAUUCCUAAGGUAGAUCAACAAGAAAGCCGACACCAUGCCCGAUCGCCCUCAGUCCUUGGUCCAAGGUCAAGCCGCCCUCGGCUGCUGUGUCACACCCGGUUUUAAGGAACAAAACCAGACUAGCUGUAUGUGUGUCCAGGAAGUCCACACAUACAACAACAGAAAGGAAUAGUAUCAAAAACAAUGUUGUAUAGCGGAAACAUACAUAUAAUAGACAUUUACAUCAGAGUAUCGCGGAAUGAUAACUAAUCUUUAGGCUCAAUCUUUACAGGGACGGCUGACUGGGGGUAACAUAUGCCUAACACUUCUUGUAUCCUAAUAACAUCCUUCGUGACUCCAUCACCCUUCUGAUCAACUCUUUCUAGUAGACUGGAGUGGUGAGAAAUAGCAAGAGUGAGCACAUAUCGUACUCAACAAGUAUAACCAGAGGUUCAUGAGGCUCAAAUAGCUGACACUGGUUUGACUGCAUUUAGCUUUUAAUAGUGGAUAGCAUGUUCUUAAUUAAAUAGCAAUUGUCAAGGUAGCAUAAGUAAUCCAUUAAUCCCAUGAUCAAGUGUAAGCAUAAUUAAUUCAUAGCAUAAACGAUAGUCAAAUAAACAUAACAACUUAAUAAGCUCAUCGUCGGCGCAGCAAGAACCCCCAAGGCCGCUCAUAACCGUGAGCAUGGCUAGUAUACCAGUUUUACACUCUGCAGAGGUUGUACAUCUUUACCCAUGAGUCAUGAUUUACCCUUUCGCCCGAGGUAGCUAAUCUCUUAACCCCCUUCCUAGGGAGGUCGGCAGGGAUCACUAUGAAGCCUUUCAAAAGUUCGUCUAACAUGUUAGGGCCGCAAGGUUUCCUUUGCGAGCAGAUAUAGAUACCCCCCUUCCGAAUGGCACAAUGACGCGCAGCCUAUACACAUAGGGACAGGGGCUCGCACUAUACCCGUGUCGGUUCAGCCCCUCCGCCCUUUCGGGUAACCUCUAACAAGCUAAAAAAGGUCUUCAUACUGAGCUAAAGCCAGAGCCAUUAUAGCCCUCAUGGUUGCACUGUUGUCCCGGUGAUCACUUACAGACAAGAUCUCAUAUAGUUAUUUGUCAUCAUUUAACGUUCAUUGCAUAGCUAUUAAUCAUCUUACAAGAUCAUAGAUUAUAUCAAGCACUAGCACAUCUACACCAAAUGCAUAUCAAGUAGGUAGCAAGGAAUACAGGUAACAAUCAUCUAUGAUUUUGCUAAGGUCGACAAGAUGAUAGCAUGCAUAUGAUAUAUAUGUGUAGUUAUAAGUGAAUAGGUAACAAGGAUGAUCCCAAGUUAUACUUGCCUUAAACACUUGCUUAAUUCUCACACCAUUAGCUUUUGGUCAUCAUCUUCUGAUCUUCAGCGCCCACAAACGGUUCUCGUCUACUCGUAGCAAGCACCACACAUAGGCAAACAUACAAGCAACAAACAGAAAUAACUAAGAACAGUACACCACACAAGAUCACGCAAUGUACUAAAGGAGAACAAAUUACUACAGGCACAAGAUGACAAAAAAACGCCGAUAACAGAACUACGCUUAAAACAAACGACUAUGAGAAAAUUCACAUCAUAACAGUAAAGACUAUAUGCUUGCUUUAUUAUAAUUACAAAACCAUAUGAAGUAUAUUAAUUCAGAUUAGUCACUAUGCAUUUCAAUUGAAAGACCAAGUUUUGAAUCUAGUAAUUUUAAUUAUAGAUAUUUUAAUGCCUUUUUAUAUACCAAUCAAUUAUACUUUAAUUUGCAAAAACAAAGUAAUAUUUGAGAGCAUAUAAUUAAUGGAAUUUUAUCUGAUGCAUUGUUAAACUAAGCAAGUUAUAAAUUAAAAAUAUAUUUCUAUAUUGUUUUAAUUUAGAAAGCAGUGUGAACAGAGAGUAGUCAAAAUUAAUAAAUAAAUUAAAAAUUUUAGAAAACAUGAAAUACGUUCAGAUGCGACAUAGAAAUAAUAGAUUAAGAUGGGACUAAAGCGAUUCAGAUAUGAUAGGAAUAACAUAAUUGAGCAUAUAUAACUACGGAGACUCAAUGGUUGCCUGAACAAGUAUACACAAAAUGUAUUUUUUUUCUUGAUUGAGGAAUAGAUAGAUAAUGCUAAUUUAUUAUGCAUGAAUGACAUACUCAUGACAUCAGCAUAAGGGUUAAUCAAUAAAAUAAUAUGGCAAGGGACUAAUCUGGCCGCUAACCUUCAGUUAAUCAGGAUGCACAUUUGCAUGCUGCACGAUAUAGCUUUCCUGGAGUAGCAAGGAUUGGGCAAUCGUACGUCAUGCAGUUGCAGCAGCUGAGAUGACUUUGUGCUUGGUAAAAGCGUGAAAUAACAGCAUGUCUAGCUUCAUGGUUGGAUUGCAUGCAGUUACUAGAUGACAACUGCCCGUACAGAGAAGCACAAAUUCAUGGAGGUGCUCACCGAACAUAGAACGAUGAUGGAGAUGGCAGCCAGCUUGGACAUCCCACAUACGUGGUGCUCCAUGGACUUGAGAGCGGAGAUCAUGCAGAGCAUCUAGGCAUGGCUGAUGGCUACGGGCAGUCUUCACUUAGAUCAAUUAGCUCCCAUGGUGAACAGAUGACAAUGAGCCAUGGAUCGAGAUCAACUCUGUACCUGCUUGGCAAAACUUCCCGGCGGCGCGGCAAGAUGGAGGUGCGGCGCAUGAUGAGAGUUAGGGCAUAGGAUGGAUGAGAAAUUAACCAAAUAGGACAUAAAGAUAUGUAUAUGUACUGUUUGUGUGGGUUUAUUAUGGCCGAGAUAUACGUGUUAACGUUUCUUCACGUACGAGUCCUGAGUUGACGUGGUGGUCGAGUCCAUCUUCAACACGUACGACAGUAGUGGUGGUUGUCCACGCGACUUCAUAUGGUAGUAUAUAUACUCCGUAUAUAUAUUUCUCAUGCUUGGGAUAAGAAUUAAGAAAAAAAAUGGGCAUGCAGCAAAGCAGGGACACGAUAGAGGGAGCGUACAAGAUAGGAGAAGGAAACAAAAAUAAAGAAACUUGCAUCUGAGUAGAAAGCUAAUUGAACCAGUUAUUUGCUUCCUGAAACAUCACGUCAAAACUUAGAUCCAAUGAAACAAGAAAACAAUAGAUAGGGCAAGUAUUAAUGGGAGAGAGAGGGUAGUACGGGCCUUCUUCUAUCCAAUAAUAAAAGAGUAAAAAAAAUGUUUGGCCAAAAGUGAUUUAGGGUCAAGAUUAAUUCGGAACAAUUUGAAAAUUAACAUUUUUCUACAACUAAAUUUGCACUAACUCAAACUAAACUUAGUAAAUUUUAUACAAAUAUCGAAAUAUUUAUUUUUGUUAAUAUUUUCUAUGCACAGCCCAAAAUCAAAAUUUUUAGGGUGUGACAUGCUCUCCACCAGCCGAAACUCUAAUUGGCCAAAGUCAAGUUCACGUACAACACAAGGAAGAAGGUGCAUGUUCUGCAGCUCAUCUAUUCAUUCAAUUAUUCCAAAAAUCCAUACCAUCUUAAUCGUGUAUCAUUUAGUUAUUCUAAGUCUAAUUUAAUCCAUUCAACCAUGUUAGAAUUUUGUAGAUUUAAUCUACGUACUAGUACCUGUAUCUUCACGUGUUGCGCUAUAUUUAUAAAUCUUAUUAAUUUAAAUGCUAGAUUGAUUAAUGUUUAUGUACAAUUACUUUUCUAAUUUAGAAGCGAACAUACUAAAUAUUUCUGAAUUUUAUAAUCUAAAAUAUACUAAACGUUGAUGUUUGUGUGCAACUGGUUUUCUAAUUUAAAAUCCCUAUAGAUUUUAUAUUUUGGUGUUUUAUAUAUAAAUAUUAAUAUGGUAAGUUACUAACAUAAUCUUAUUUCUAAAUAAUAAAUUGCUUAGCUCAAACAUGUUUCAUAUAUGAAAUUCUAAUUAGACUAAAUACUCUCACAUAUUUAUUUCUUUUGCAAUUUGCAAAGAUAAAGCUUAAUAAUUUAUUUAGUAAAUUAGGUGAUAACAUUUAUAAAAAAAUAUAUGAUUAGCAUCAACUCAGAUUUCAAGUUUAAAUAUGAUUUAUUUUGAGUUAAUGUUACUCACAUUGUUUUUCUUAAUUAAUAUAAAUCAAGCUUAUAGUUGUUUGAUUUACGGUAUAAAUUAUUUUGGCAAUUGUUCCUUUUACAUCGUAGCUUCGACCUCGAUGGUUCUUGCGUUUUUGUGACCGUGAUCAAAUUAGAGUGCUUUUCACGUCUUUGUGUCCGUAGCGAUAGAUUAGUUUUUAAACCUUUUUAUUGUUUGGUGUACUGUACUAAUUAUAGCUUUGUUUGCUUCAUGUAUGUUUGGCUCCUGUUUGCUUGUGUGUUGCUAUUCGAUGAUCGAGUUUAGACGGUGAGCAAUUCGUAAUGAACAAGAGUGCUUUAGUGAUCAAGAUCAGAGCCUUGACAACUAGUAAGACCAACAGGAUCAACAAGAGCAUUUGGAUUAAGGCAAGUAUAGCAUUUGGAUUUUAUUUCUGUGACCAUGAUCGUAUGACUAGAUUAAUGUUAAGUAAUAAACAAUAAAAAUGACUGUUUAGCAACUUAAGGAUUUAUCUGUACGUGAUCACCCGGGACAACAGUGCAACCAUGAGGGCUAUAAUGGCUCUGGCUUUAGCUCAGUAUGAAGACCUUUUCUAGCUUGUUAGCGGUUACCCGAAAGGGCGCUAGAGGGGCUGAACCGACACGGGUAUAGUGCGAGCCCCUGUCCCUAUGUGUAUAGGCUGCGCGUCAUUGUGCCAUUCGGAAGGGGGUAUCUAUAUCUGCUCGCGGUGGAAACCUCGCGGCCCUAACAUGUUAGACUAACUUUUGAAAGGCUUCAUAGUGAUCCCUGCCGACCUUCCUUGGUAGUGCGUUAAGAGGCUGAUCACCUCGGGCGAAAGGGUAAAUCAUGACUCAUGGGUAAAGAUGUACAACCUCUGUAGAGUGUUAAAACUAGUAUACUAGCCGAGCUCACGGUCAGGAGCGACCUUGGGGACAUCUACAUUAAGGGUGAUGAAUCUUGUGUGUUAAAUAUGCUCAUUGUUUAUUGUUUAAUGCUCAACAUUAUUUAUGUCGCAUUGAUCAUGAGAUUGUGGGAGCUAUACAAUCUAGUUGCUAUACUUGUGGAGUUCGACAUGGACUCACUCUUGCUAUUUCCCCACACCCCUCAGGAGAAGUUUUGGGCUUGUGAUCAACCAGUCAGUUGGAUCCUGUAGAGAGAAGUUAAUACCCGAAGUUUGGAGUUGUCUAUCCGCUGUUUGCUAUCACAGGUUAUAUCUUUUAUACUAAGUACGUUAUAUAUUUAUGCAUUGUCUUUUGAUAUUACCCUUAUUUGUAACUAUAUGUGAGACUUGGCUUCUAAAACUCACAUAUAGUGCAUAUCUGAUUUUGUCCUUAAAAUCGGGUAUUACAAAAAGACACAUAUCUAUUUUAUUUUCUAAUCAGACGAUAUCAACAACUUGAUUAAUGAUGAUUGAUUAAUAAAUAAAAGUACUUAAUGUAAAAAUUUGUUUUUCCCCAUAGAAUAUAUUGUGUUUAUUUAAAGAUAAAUUUUGAACACUGAAAUGAACUAUACUAGGUGAAUUCCCCGCGCGUUGCUGCGGGAUUUUUUUAAAAAUAAAUUAUUAUAUACAUAACAUUACUAUAUGGUAUUUAGUCUAUUAUGUAUGUAUACAUAUGAAUUGGACUUGCAUGUAUUUUAUUGUAUUAGAUUAGUAAAAAAUUGCUAAGCUAAUAAAACAAAAACUAAUAUUUGAUUACAUUAUAGAGGAAUUAAUUGGUGAUAAAACAAAUAAUGUAUGUACAUGACUUGUAUGUGAAUAUAUUAAAGAUUUAAAGUAUUUCACAUAAUAUAGAUGGCAUGGUUAUUUUUUUAUAAUUAAUAUGGAAUGACAUGGACUUAGUGGGGAAUGAUGUGGACAUCUUGCAUGAAGAGAUAAAAUAUUUAGUGGGUCACUUAGUGGGAAAUGAUGUGGCCACCUUGCAUGAAGGGAGAAUUCAUCUAAUGGGGUUUAGCUUUAUAAGAGUUAUAGAUUACAUGAUGGAGGGAGUAUUUACUACCCAACCAAAGAUCCCUCUACCGUUGUGUUUGAUAUUCCCGCGCACUACAAGUUAUCAUUGGUAUCCAAAGAUGGAGGAGACGAUAAUCUAUUUUGUCCGUACACACGCGUCAGCCUUUUGACCAAGAUAUUAUUUCUGUAUUUUUAUUUGUAUAUACGAUUAUAAGACAGCGAUAGGCAACGGAAUGAGACAUCGAAGGAACGGAAUAUAGACGAAGAUGUACUAUUAUGUAUACUAUACCUUCACACUAAAUUAGCUGAUAAUAUAAAUUCUGUAGGAGUAUAUACGCUGAUAAGUACACAGCCAAACAGACGAAGUUGACACGUCCAUGGUUGAUGACACCUUCGCACUAACGAACGACCACAUACGAACAAAUUAAUGAAUUGACUUUGAAAGAAGUAAAAGAAGCCAAAACAAUUUAUUUUUGUCGAACCAAGAAAUUUGGUCUUUGUUCCAAAUUUCAUCAAAAACUUGUUCGUUCUAGCAAACUCAAGUUAUAUCGUGCUAUAUCCUGUAAUAUAGUGAAUUUUAAAAAUUUUAAAACAUUUUUUCUAAAAAAUAAGAGAAAAUUUAAAAGACACAUGUACGUUUAUUUUAUUUCCUAAUUAGACGGUAUCAUCAACAUGAUUAAUGGUGAUUGAUAGAUAAAUGGGAAGUAUUUAAUGUAACAUUUUGUUUCUUCCAUAGAAUAUAUUGUAUUUAAAGAUAAAUUUUGAAUGCGGAAAUAAAUUAUAUAUACUAGGAGGAUUUUCUGCGCGUUGCCGCGGGUAUGAAGCAGUAAUCUAUAUGUGUGGUGUUAGUAAUGCAGGAACAUGAUAUAAUAUAUGUGUAGAUUUAUUAGUAUAAUCGUGGACAUUAUAUCUAUAGUGGCCGGUGUUUCUAGCUGAUGUUGAUAUCAUAAUUCUUGUAUCAGUGAACUUUAAUUGCAAAUAAUAGUGGAUUGCUGAGGUGGACACCUUGCAUGUCAAGAGAAAUUGCUAGUGACAAAUUAUAAUGGAUUGUUGAGGUGGACGUCUUGCAUGUUAAAAGAAAUAGCUAGUGGGAUUUUACUUUAUAAGAGUUAUAGAAGUGGAUUGAUGAGGUGGACAUCUUACAUGUCAAAAGAAAUUGCUAGUGACAAAUUAUAGUGGAUUGCUGAGGUGGAUGUCUUACAUGUUACGAGAAAUAGUUAGUGGGUUUUUGCUUUAUAAGAAUUACAGAUUACAAAAUGGAGGGAGUAUUUAGUACCCAACCAAAGAUCCCUCCACCGUUGUGUUUGAUAUUCCCGCGCACUACAAGUUAUCAUUGGUAUCCAAAGAUGGAGGAGACGAUAAUCUAUUUUGUCCGUACAUACAUCAGCCUUUGGCCAAGAUAUUAUUUCUGUAUUUUUGUUUGUAUAUAUACGCUUAUAAUGUGGCUCGCGAUUUUGUCGAGUCUACGUUUCUUAAUGACAGGCCAUGAGGCCCAAAGUGAACUCAAAAAGACAGCGAUAGGCAACGGAAUGAGACAUCGAAGGAACGGAAUAUAGAUGAAGAUGUACUAUUAUGUAUACUAGUACACCUUCACACUUAAUUAGCUGAUAACAAAAUUCUGUAGGAGUAUAUACGCUGAUAAGUACAGCCAAACAGACGAAGUUGACACGUCCAUGGUUGAUGACACCUUCGCACUAACGAACGACCACAUACGAACAAAUAAAUUAAUGAAUUGAUUUUGAAAGAAGUAAAAGAAGCCAAAACAAUUUAUUUUUGUCGAACCAAGAAAUUUGGUCUUUAAACUUGUUCGUUCUAGCGAACUCACGUUUCUAUAGCAAUGAUAAAACUUUUGAACUUACACAAUGCAGGGAAAACCUAAAGGCAAAGUGAAAGCAAAAACAGUCCUUAACAUAGUGAAAGGUUGACAUUGGAAGAUUUGAUGCGGGUCCGAAGUUCCAAAGAUUGUAAGUCGAAGUCGGAAAAAAUAACUCGACCUAUGGGGGUAAGACAGCCCCGGGUAUUGUGUUUAAGAAAAAAAAAAUUAAGUCGAGAAAAUCCCUAAACCUCUACCUUACCCAUACACAAUGGUAUCACAGCUCCUAUGACGCUGGCUGAUCUUAGACCUGUACUUUAACAUAGAGCAGACGAGAAGAUUUUGUCAACAUGCAGAUAAACUAACGCCUCCUCCCAUCAACAAAUCCGCCUUCCAAAGAGUUCGAACUGUGGCCGGUAGGAUGCAAAGCGCACCGUCCAAGCAACUGGUCUAGCGUAUAUCAGAAGUAGGUCGUAAAUUCCAAACAAGACUGCUUCAAAUCAACUCUAAAAAAUUUGAAAUUUUGUACAAACCUUGAAUAAACCAUUUAUAAAAGAUAACCCCCAAGAGAUCAAUACUACCACGUAAAGCAUUUUGCAUGCGGCCACAUUUGUUUUCCACAUACGCCCAGCAAAGUCUGCCUCCAAGUCUAAGCAUCAAUGAUUCUGAUUUUUUUUUUUUUUUGAAGAUGCUUGUCUGUGAAAAUAGGUUUAGAAAAUAAAAAAAGGGCCUAGGCCCGGCGUCGAACUCGCUUCCGGAAGCGUCGCCACCGCUGCCCAUCCACUCUAAACACGCGGCUGUCGUCACCGAGGCCGCUCGCAGCCAGGUAGCCACCCCACUGUCGCCGGAUCUUGCUGUGGAUCCCUCCACCGCCGGAUCAAGCCAUGGAUCUCUCCAUUGUGCCGCCGUGAGGCCGUGUCACUGCGCACUCCUGCGUUGCGCCACGCCGUUGCGAGGCUCCUGGGUGCCAAUCUAGAUAACCCGGGUUGUCAUCCACUCGAUCGACCUGUCUUAAUAUAAACCAAAUACUGAGGACCCACAGGAAAGUAUCAUCUGCACCUCGUCUUAAAGACCUUUUACAGUUGAGUUACACCAACGAGCCAAUCAUCAAGCGACUUACAACACAAUCUUAUAGUGAACAAAAAAAUUUCAAACUAAAACAUCAUUGACCAUAAAAGAAAUUAACCUGCAAGAAGACAUCGGACGAGUUGGAGAUGAGCUCACUUGAUUGGAUUGGGAGAGCGUGUGAGAGUGAUUAGAGAUAGAGAGCUUUGAUGAGUGAUCCAACUGUGGAUUAGUAUCAUACUAGUUUUUAUCUAGACAUGUGAGGGUGUUAGGUCCUAGGGUUAAGGUUAAACAUUUUAAACUUCAAAAUAUUCAUCAGAUGCUCCAUCAAUUAUGAUGGACUCUCCUUCAAAAAUAUUCCCAAAGCUAGCAAGUUUGGGUUCGGCUAUAAGAGAAUUGAUGGAUGAUCCGAUAAACUUGUCGGACGAUCCAAAAAAAUGGACGAUAUGUGGUUCUAGGAACAUGCCACAGAACGAUCGGUGGGUGAGCUGUGUUUCACAGACACUCCGCGGAAUCGACAUUUGCUCCAUGGUGAACUAGGUGCUACCGAGUUCUCUGGAAACCAAUUUUAGUUAUUGACGCGCAGUCCAUGGAUCCUCAUGAAUGUUCCAUGAACAGUGAAGACUAAGUGUUUGGCUGUGAUUUCUGGCCAAGCGUUGUGGUUGACGUAUGAUCUGUAAGAUGUGAUGGAUGCUUCAUUAGUGCAUUCACACAAGUUAUGUGUUUUAUCAUUCAUGGUGUUUAUGUGUGAUUUAAGUCUAGAUCAUUGGUGAUGUUCAUCAUGUAUGUGCAAGGGGUUAGGGUUGUUUAGGUGACAUGUUGGGCUACUGAUUGCUAGGGUUGAGCUCUAGUUACCAUGUGCAUCAUAGUGAUCUGUGGAUCAAAUUAAUCAUGAGAAAAGAGAAAUUAAAUCAUGAGAAUGGGCAUGGCAAUAUAUCUUUAAGAAUUUGAUGACCUCUAGGCCACCAAGAUCAGAUAUGGGGUCUUGCUCAACCUUGCUUCCAAGAAAAAGAGAUGGAUUGGGGAAUUCAUGAGAUUUCUUGCAAAAAUCCACAAAAUUGCAUUGGGGAGAAACUUGAGAGAUCCCUGAGAGGAUUGAGCUAGAGAUGAUCUUAGCUUACACUUGAGAUGAUGGAGCAACUUCCAAACUUCACAUAUUGCAUCCAUGCAUGAAAAAAAUCAUGCAUGGAUGUAAUGUGAAGUUUGGAAGUUGCUCCAUCAUCUCAAGUGUAAGCUAAGAUCAUCUCGAGAGAGGAUUUCAAGAAAAAUGAGAGAAAGGCUUUUGAUUUCACCAUAGAUUGAGGUUGAGAUGGAGAAGCUGAUGAGAUUUGUGAUCAAUGCUGACCUUUGCUUCUUAUCCUUCCUUUAUUUCCCUUCUCUUCAUCUUUCUCACUUUCUCUCUCUAGUUCUUGCCUUGUUCUUCAUGUGUUGAGAGAGGGGGAUAGGGAAUGGGUAAGAGAGUAAGCGGGAUGGGGCAUGUUUGCUGAAGGCCUUUCCCAACUCGUGCUGACAAGUGGGUCCACUUGUGAGAGAAUGGAGGACAGCUCAUUCCCAACUUGAUUCUACUAAAGUCAAGUUUUGAUGAAUGAUCUGUCUAUUCAGAUAGGCACUCUGUCAAUAUGCUAAUUAUGAGAAAUUGAUUUAGAGAAAUGGUUCUUAGAAUUUAGAAUUAGGGCCAUUCUUCUUGUCCUAGGUGUUGAUAACCACUUAGGGAGAGACUAGAUAAGUCAACUAUACCCUUCCUCCACUAUCUUCUUGAAGUUGACCGUUAGUUGGUCAUCGAUGACUCUAGGUUGACUCUGGCUUAAGAGGAUCGAUAAGGUUGGUUAGCAAAUUUGGAGUCCUUAUCCUAGUUAAGAGCACUAGGAAUCCUUCAAGAGAAUAGCAAGUUGAUUCUUGGAAGUUUGAGGGCUUAUGCAAGGUGAUCAAAGAGGUUCUUAAGAAGGGUUUUAGUUGGAAUGACUUCUGGUCAUGACAAUUGCUGCCUUCAAUUCGCUCAAGAUCCAUGGUGGAAAAGAUUUCCAAACCCUAAGUCAUUUUGGGCCUGGUGGAGGCACGUCGUGAGAGAUGAGAGCGGGGAGGAGUUCCAAACCCUAACUCUAUCUUAUAUAUGUCACAAUCAUAUUGAGCUCGAUGGCUCCGAGCAUGUUUCUAGAGGUGGGCCGCCCACCUUUGUAAACGAAUUACAGAGAUAGAUGUUUUUGGACUGCCUCCUUAAGUAGAGCUACCACCACCGAAAAUUAGGAUCUUUUUGGGAGGCACUAAGAAUUUCUAACCACCUCCAUUAAUAAAAUCCCUUAUCUCCUAAAAUAUUUUAUGUAGUAGUGCAAGUCUAAAAGAUAAAAGCUUGAACAGAAAAUUCAAAAUCCUUAGUCUCAAAUUGGAGUUUUGUCAAUUUUCCUCCAAAUGGGGAUUUCUAUGUGCUCGUGGGAAAUCUGCCUAAGGCAGCUAUGUUUAUUCGUGAGCCCCUAUAGCACCUAAAGAUCAUUCAACGAUGUCCCAAAUACCUGAGCACAAAUAACUUCGAGAAAAUAACCUCAAGAAAUGGUAUUUUUAGAAGCAAAUUAGCUCGCCAACUGCCUCUAAGAGCAACUCCAACACUACCCUAAACUUCACUUGGCAAAUCUUGGAUUUUGCCAAGUGUAAAGCUCAAAUGCCAAGUGAAAAAAAGAGGCUUCUCCAACAGUUAGCUAUUUUUUUGGCAAAUUUGGACUAUCUUGUGAUUCCUGAAAAAAUCAGAGGGACUUUUAUGCAAAAGUUGCAAUCUAUUUAAGGCAUGCGUGCAUGCUGAAUGUGUGGGUCCCACCGCGUAGGCAGGAUGCCAAGCGCUCCCAACGCUCCUAAAUUUGAGCCAGUUGGCCCUCUUUUUGCCAAGCAUCCUAUUUUGUCAAGUGCAUAUAGGGUAGUGUUGGAGGAGCUUUUUCCAUGUUUUGCCAAAAAUUAGGAUUUGCCAAGUGCAUAUAGGGUAGAGUUGGAGUUGCUCUAAUAAAAUAGCAUACAUUUCUAGAGGCGGCUGGAGUUGUCUCUAAAAAAUUGAUUUUUAGAGACGAGUUGACUCAAAAACAAUUUUUAAAGACAGAUUUUUAUAAAGUAGCCUCUACCCAAAAAUUGAGACGUCUCUAAAAAUGGACUAUGACUGUAGACCUGUAGCUGGAGCAGGCUUGGUAUUUGUAGUUUAGAAGUUGCAGCGGCAGCGAGAGUUGGUGUGGCUUGUACCAUACUCCUAUUAAGUAAAGGAAAAUUGAUAGUAGUAUACAGCCUAAUGAGACAUAGACCAAUCUAUUUCAUUUUUGUACUCAUUAGAUAAUCGUUUAAUCAUUUCGCAAAAAGAAAAAAAUGGAUAGACACACUUAAUAAUACACAGAGUGAUGAAACAAUAUAACAUAAGCACAGGAUAAAAUAUGAGUACAUUUAUUGUCCUUAGCACAGACUGAUACACUAUAAUUAUAAUCACUCUCUCCGGUACAAAUUAAGCAGCAACAGGGACACAGUUCACAUCACAAAUCAUCUGAUUAAUUUGGUAUAAGAUUAUUGUAAGGUUUGGCCAUGAUCCAAAGCAUGGACUUCUUUCUUAACGUUAUCCCAAAGAUCUCUGCCAUAUCAAAUUCUUCCAACUUGACGCCAUCAGGUAGAGUCCAAUCAAAAUGGUAAAGAAGGCUAACAAGAGCCAGCUCUAGAUUGGCCAAACCAAGCGUUAUGCCAGGGCAUAUUCUCCUACCUGACCCAAAGGGAGUGAACUCGAAGUCAUUACCUCUAAAAUCGACACUACUAUUUUCAAAUCUUUCUGGCCUAAAUUCCUCUGCAUCAUGCCACAAUUUUUUGUCCCUUGCUAUUGCCCAAGCAUUCACGAACACCUUGGUUCCCUUUGGAACAUCGUAACCCAUAACCUGACAUGAUUCACGACCUUCUCGAGGGAGCAACAGUGGUACUGGAGCAUGCAACCGUAAAGUCUCCUUGAUCACCAGCUGUAGGUAUCUCAAUUUGAUCAAAUCACCUUCAGUUAUCUUGUCUUGUCCUUUGAAGGCCUCCCUCACCUCUGAUUGGGCCUUAUGCAUGACUUGUGGAUUCCUAACAAGCUCUGACAUUGCCCAUACUAGAACAGUUGAUGAUGUUUCACUCCCAGCAGAGAAAAUAUCCUACAAUACAAUGUUAUAGUUACAAUUUGUAAAAGGGGACAUUCACAUUUUAAUUCUCAUGAGAAUGUAAUCAGUAAACAUAAGAAUGUAAAAAAAGAAUGUAGGUCAUAAAUUAUAUUCUUGUUCACAUUUUUAUUGAGUGCCAAUCGUGCAGAAUUAAUUAAAUUCUUUUUUAUCAUUUUAGUAAAUAAGAAUUCAAUUUAUAACCUAAAUUCUUAUUUUAUAAAAUACAAAAGAGUUCUAACUAAAAUGAAAUAAGUACAUAUAAGAUUUUCAACUUAACUUGAGGAUUAAGAAACUACAUCAACUAACAAAAUCAAAAUUUAAAAUCAAGAUCAAAUAUGUCAGGUGACAUGGCUAGCAAUAAGAGAUACCAUAACUUAAGCUAUGGUUUUAACUAAAUGUGUAUUGAAGACAAAUGGACGUGCCACGCACAGAGAAAGAGAAAUUAUAAAUAUGGAUAAAAAAUAUAAGGAAUAAUUGAUAAGUUGAUCUCACCGGUAAAGAAAGAAAUAUCUAUAUUGUGUCAAAAAAAAGAAUAAAAAUAAUAGCACAAGGAUAAUUAAUUUGUUUAGUUGUAGGUACUAAACAUGGACUACGAUACCAAAACUUAUUUAGUGUAAUAAAAUUCCAUUUGCCUAAUGCUAAACUAGAAAUAAAUUAGAGACCAUUAAUAAUGGAGAGGUUUUGUAGGAGUGUGGUGUUAGAUAACUAGAAGAUAUCUCGCGCAUUGCUACGAGAAUCGCAAAGAACUUGCUUGGAAUGAAAUUAAAAGAAGAUAAUGUGAAUAGCUUGCAACUAAGGGUCCAUUUGGUAGGAUUUCUCCACCGGCUUCAGUUUGUUUGAAGCCAUUUUCUGCCACACGGUAUAAAAUAAAACGGCUUUGCUAGUGAAACUCCUUAAAACCAGCUUUAUAAGAGCGGAUCUCACCCAAAUAACCGUGCUGACAAUCUCGUUGGUGAGAGCGAACUGCAGGCCACCAUCCCUCUGCAGCCUCAGGAGAACACCCAGAAGGUCCUCCUCGUCUCGCUCUGGCGCCGUCGCCAUGGCUUCAGCUUCACGCUCAUGAAUGAUGCUCCGGAUGAUCCGGUACAUGUUCCUCUGGCACCUCCUCGCGUCCCUCGCGGCGGCGCUGAACCGGCGUACCAGCUGCGAGGACGGGUACAGGUCCGCCAGGUUGAACCCACCAAACAGCCGCACCACUUCGUCUAGCUCAUGCAUGUACUCAUCCCGGUACUUGCACCGGUCGCCGACGACCGUGCGCGCGGCGACGUCGUUUACCAUGCGGCAGAUCCCGUCGCUGAGGUUGACGGGCCGCUGGCCGUCGGCAGACUCCCUGGAGACGGAGCGGAGGAGGUUCGCCACCUCCUCUUCCCGGAUGUUCCGGAACGUGAGCACGCGGCGCUGGCUGAAGAGCUCCACCAUACACAGCUUCCGGAGCUCCCGCCAGUGGGCGUUGUAGGCGGAGAAGAUGAUGUCCUUGCCGCCGCAGCUAAUGAUCUCCAUGGUGACGCUCAGGUUGCGGUCGCAGAAGGUGAGGUCGUGCGUCCUCAUCACCUCCCUGGCGGCCUCGGCGGAGGAGACCACCAGCGUGGGCACGGCGCCGAAGCGGAGCAUCAUGAGGGGCCCGUAGGUUCCGGACAUCUCGCGCAGCGCCCGGUGAGGCAGGUCGCUGAAGCGCGACAGGAGGAGGUGGUGCAGGCUGCCGAUGAGCGGCAGCUGCCAUGGCCCUGGUGGCAGGCGAAGCGCUGGUGAUGGCUUCGUGCGUGAGGACGUGACGUAGCUCCGGAUGAGCCUGAGGAGGAGGAGGGCGAGGAGGACGACGAAGGCUAGAAACUGGAUUCUCAUCAUGUCCAUAUUUUUGCCGGGGAUGGGACAAGUUUGCAGCCAACUGCGUCUCGACAACAUCGAUGACACGUAUUUAUACUAGGGGCUUGCUACCUGAAUUCUAGUUAUAUAUAUUUAUAAUACUAAUAAAAGUGUCCUUGCAACAAGUAAAAAGGUAUAAUGUUAUCCAUAGUUUUUUAUCUUGAAAAUAAUAAUUUUUCAUUUACAUCAUUAUAUUUUUAUUGCACUCAACAUGAUGCUAAAAAAGCAUAUCAUCACACUAUAAAAAAACAAGUUUUUAGGGUUUCUUCCUCUAUAAUAACCGUUCGAUUUGUACGCCGUGCUAUAUGAGUCCUACGUCAUGUAUGAUCUUACUUUUUUGUAUAACAACCGUUCGAUCUAGAUGUCAUGCUAUAUGAGCCCUCCAUCAUCUAUGAUCUUACAUGUAAGAUUUAAGACCCAUAUUCAAUCUCACAGUAAUGCUACCCAUCAUAAGUCAUAUCCUUCUCUCUUGUGUACUGUCGACUCCCUGAUUUUGACUCGACAUAUUUUUCUUCUAUUUAGUAAUCAAUUGCUUCUUCAUCGUGUAACUUUUGCUAAAGUCGAGACCAAUAGCACACAAUUAAUCAAUAGGAGUACAAACCAAUAACGGUAAAAUUAUUAAGAUAGAAUCAUACUCAUGUAUUCUAACGGAAAAAAUAAUAACUUGAUAGUCACUUGCCCUCCAUAUACAAUGGUCAUUUGCACCGACACGGAAGCUAGCAUUGCUUGAUUUGGCUAGUGUUGAUAUACGAGGCGGACACACAUGGCUACCUUUGCGUGCAUCUUCUUGGCUUCGACAUACUGGUCGUGUGUUUUUUUCUUUUGCUAUUUUCUAGCUAUUUAACAAUUAGUUGUUACUAUCAGCGUAAUUUGUGUAAUUUUUUAUUUGUUUUUCUGAAUUUUAUAUAUUAGUUAUUUAAAAGGAAUGAUUUUAAAUAAAGUUUAUAUUUUAUAAUAAAAGACGUUUCUUCUUUACAUACCGUUUUCAAAUUAUGGCCUGCUUUUUGAUUUUUGGCCUUUUUCUUCUUAUAGCUGUUGCAUGCCCAAUUGCCCAUGGUAAAUCCCAGCGUGUUGCCUGUUGGUUAUGCAAAGUUGUAGGUAGGCUACGCGUUGUCCUUUUCCCAAUUUGAUUUUUUUUACCGUUCGGAGCACGGUUCAGAGGUGUAGAUAGAUAGAGAUAAUUUCCAAACUGAAGAGGGUCGACUUUAAAAACCAUAAUUCGAGUAGAGAUUGGAGUUGAAGGAAAAAUAUUACGGAUCGAAGCCUAUACGGACUGGAUAGGCGAAAAAAAGAUGUCUGCUGGACUGAAAUUUUCAUAAUUAUAUAUUAGAAGAAAGAUUGUAGAUUUCGUUCAUUUUAAUUUUCUAGACAUAAUUUAUAAUUUUCGGUACCGAGAAUAAAAAUUUGUUAGACAAAAUUAUAAAUCUGACAAAUGUAUUUGAUCAAAGUUAAUAUUGUUUGACUCCUGAUAAAUGAGAAUAAGCAUUCUUUUAGGCACGGACAAAGAAAUUUAUCCACAAACAUGCGUGAAGAUGUGCUGUACAUACUAUGUACCCGUACUCCGUGAUGUACAAAACUAGGACCAGCAGAGGCUAAUUGUCUCUAUAGCAGCAGGCUACAAUAAUUUGUCUCCGUGGUCCAAAACGUGGGAAGCCUGUUAAGUGGUUGUUUGGUUCACAUAUUUGUUCACUUGUCUAAGUUGUAUUUUUUCUAACAGCCAACAGUGUUUUUCUUUCAUAAUAAAUCAGCGAAGAAUAUUUUCAACUAUAACUUUUCAGAUCAGCGAACAUGCUAGUCUCAUUUACUUUCAUUUAGUCAUUUUUUAUCUAAACACUAUAACUAAAUGAGGUUAAAUGGACUUUAGUCAUCUCUAGCAAUUCUGGAAUAACUAAAUAAGACUAAACUAUUUAGAAGGGACUAAAGUUUAGCAGCCCGAAAAACACCCGUGAUGUCCAUCCAUCCAUUAUAUAAGUUGUUGCUAGGCAGCUAGGGUCUUAGUAUUUUCGUUUUAUUUUAGUAAUUAGUAUCUAAUUAUGGAAUCUCUAGAUUUAAAAGAUCCAUCUCAUAAUUUAUAGAUAACUUGUACAAUUAGUUUUUUUAUCUAUAUCUAAUGUUGUAUGCAUGUGUCCAAGAUUUGAUGUGAUAGAUGAAAAGUUUUUAGGUGAAACUAAACAAGGCCCAGGUAUAACUAGGGACGGGAUAGAUAUGCAGCCAACUACGUGACGACAAAAUCUCGAGGAGCUGACACAGAUAUAUGGACUAGAUAGAUUUUAAUAAUAUAAUAGUACGUAUCAAUAAUGUAGGAAAUAAUGGUAUACUAUACUAGUUCAUAGGAUUCAACUGAAUAUUUUUGACAACAACGUCGUAUUGUGUUUGAUACUUCCACGCAACUACAGGUUAUUAGUGGCGUCGGUCCACGAAUGUGUACGUGCACGCCGCCUUUCGUUCAAGAUAUACUAUAUGUUAAUUCUGUAUUUGUUUGUAUAUAUAUAUACGCUUAAUUAUAAGACAGCGAUAGGCAACGGAAUAUAUAUAUACACACACGAAGAAAAAUCGCUGGAGUAAAGAUAGAAGCUUGUGUAGAUAUUCUCGCUAUGGAGUAGUAGUUCCAAUCAUAUAUAUAUUGUGCCGCUGUGAGAAGUAGCCAAUCACCAAACAGGAGUGCUCAGCUCACUGAUGGCACGUCGUCUAUCCGUAGAGGCGUAGACGGGUGCAUGAGUGCAAAUGGACAUGCAUGGUUUCGAGGACUUCCCAACACACCCACAGGGCCACAGCCCACAGGUGAUGUUUGUCUCCAUGUUUCCCUCCUAUUUCCGCUGCUAUUAAUUCUCGUUGCUACGUGUUUGUUUCAGCAGCAGCGGAGCCAUUCGCACAAGGGUCGAAUCCGGAUACCGGAAACGUCGUUACCGCCCACUCCAGGCCUUAUCGGUUUAGGGCAUGUACAAUCUAGAUAGGGUCCGUCUCUAAGACCAGUCGCAAUGUAUAGUUUCAUGGUAGUUACCAAGACUAUAAACUAGGUAACCGAGUCAUAUGAGUUUUAUGAGGAUGAAAACUCCUCUCUCAUCUGAUGAGACUGCUUCAUUUAAUGACCCUGUCAAGUCAGCAAUUUUGCUUAUGUGGCACCUUAUUUAAUGUGCAUGAUACUCUCAUGAAACAUGCAUUGAGAUUGACCUAAGUAUCUCGAAUCUAUGAUACAGACAGAUAUAAAGACAGAUUAUACAAUCCAUACUUGGGGGUUCUAAGGCAUUUAAUAAUUUGCAUGUAGCUAAGAUCAACUAUGGAUAUCAACUUGUAUACCACUGUGUGGCCGUUUGAUAGAAGACAAGUUCAAGUAUAAAUAAGAUGAACAUAAUUAUAAUAUUUUAAAACCACUAAUAUAAUAUAUAUUAUAUAUAAAGAUGAACAUAAUUACAUAAGCACACUCAAAGAGGUCAGUCCACCUAAUAAUCUUGUGCCAUGGAUCCUUGCAUUGCUUUAGAUUCCUUUUCCUACGGGGUGGAGCUGUCUUGUUGUAUGAUUGAACAACAUCAGACCAAUAUUGGUUGCCACCUAUAUUAGCUCCACAGGUCGAAACUGUUGAAUGUUCUAUCCAAGAGCUCAUGCAUCAAGCUGACAUCCUCAUUCUUUUUCCAAGGAAUUUGCUUCUCAGUCCUAGCAUUUUCAUCAUCAGUGUCAACUAGUUCAGGCUACUGCUUGUCCACUCUCUCUACUUCUACUGGUAAAAUUUCUUCAUGGUUGUGAACAGGUGCACCAACCUAAAAAUUGUGUGGCUGGUUUCCAAAGUAACUCAUAAACCCACCAGGUGGGCAUGGGUCGUCUUUAUCCCUGCAGGAAACAUAACAUCACUAAAAUGACUCUAUACAACAUUACUUUAAUUUGCACUAUCUGCUUCUCAUUCACACUAACAAAUAUCAAAUAGUUUAUAAGAAACAGAGCAUUAGUUUCAUUCUCAAACAUUUGCAACAAACAUCAUAGACCUUCAAAAGGAUCUAUGACACUACAUGCAGGGAAUAAAAUAUGUCAUUUGUCAACCAUGAUGAUCUGACCAGGAUGAACACACAUGCAGCCCAUAGCCACCCUCCUGCUAUUCUUCCCCAAAUAAGAUGAAACAAAUUGCAAUAUAUACAACUUAGCACAUUCAGCAGCUACCAAAGCUCUGUUCACAUUCAGAUACAGCUAGCAAGUUCACGCAGGUUCACAUUCAGAUAAUAACUAGCAAAGCUCUAUUCACUAACAGAUAAGAUAGAAUUUCACUAACAGAUAGGAGCAAGUCCAGAUCAAUUCACAGGUCAGGUGAUUAACAAGAUGGAUCCCAAGCUGCUGAGCGCACAAACGAAGGAGAAGCUGGAUCAACGUUGGUCGAAUUCCACCAAGCAGUAGAUGGUGAAGUGGGGAAUGGAAACCCACCGAAGACGAUGGAACCGUCGCAGCACUGGGGAAGGCACCUCCACUAGAUGUACCAAUGGAGAUAGGAGGUGUUGCCAUGCUGUUGCUGAGGGAACAGGAGAUGGGGGUACCCCGGUGCCACCACCGCUGAUCCACUUCCGCGACCUAGGGUUCAGCCCAGGGCAUCCGCGCCCAACGAUGAGCCUCCACCACGACUGAGGUUGUAGUUCGACGCCGUCGAGAUGGCUCCGCGACCGAAGGUGUGCACCGGGAACACCGCUAUCGCUGUCGCCGCAGUUGACGCAACAAUGGGGGUGUCCUUGCUCUUCUUGUUUGUGGAAGCUAGUUUGCACUUCCUCGCUGAGGUGCUAAACAUCGCAGCCACCAAAGGUUGGGGUGCCCGAUUGAGAAAGAAAGCUAGAGUGUUGUGGCUGCUUCACCGGUGAAAUAGGGAUGAGGCAGAGACGGAUUUGGCGGGACUGCUCCCUCCCAUGCGCGCCAAAACUUCAUUAGCAUGCACGCGAGUGCCCCAGAUCCGCGCGCCGUCGAGACAAGGGGACGACUCCUACAAUGCUGCUCGGCUGGUCUCCUUUGCAUCGGUGCAUGGGACGGCUCCGUCGCUUCACGAGACGACGGAAUAGUCGUCUUCAGGCCACAACGGCACAACAGAUUUUUUUUGUAAAAGUACCCACGAAAGGACGGGGUGAAGAGUUUUUAUAAAAGUACCCACGAAAGGACGGGGUGAAGAGCCCCGUUGUACAUACCCUUAUUACGCAACUCACGUGAGAAUGGAUAAAGGAUAUCUUAGGUUGGAUCCUAUGAACUAAUAAGUAUAAUUGAAAGUUUAGUCUUUAAAGAUCUAAACAAAUGAACUAGUUAGUGAGCUAACAACUAGCGAAAGCCUCAACUAAUUGUUACUUCACUAGCAUAUAGAGCCCAACUAGUUGGGCUAAUCACUAAUUCUAGUUCAUCCAAACAGCUCCUUAACCAACCAAACAAAUUGUCGUUUUUCAUUUCAGGCAACAGGUAGGGGCGGCACCCAUUUUCAUUUGCAGUACAGCCCCGAACUAAACAGAGAAAGAGAGACACACAUUUGGCGGCCAAAAAAUCUGGGUUUUGAUCUAUCAUUUUGCAUAAUAAAACUAAACAUCAUGCAAAAAUUUUUAGCAAAAAAAAUUAUUCUUCAUUUUGGAUUUUGGUCUCAGGAGGCCAAAAGCCCAAAAGAGUUACAAGAGACCAUAAUAAGAGCAAUAAAUUCUGUAUUCUAGACAAAACUAAAUAUAACCUUAAAAAUGUUAGUAUUUAGUAUUUUAUCAUUUCAAGGUAGUCGGCAUUUUGCAUUUUGCAUUUUAUGGGAAAUUAAACACCCCCUAGCACAACCAAAUCGUCAACUCCCAACACUGCAGGCUUGAUGGAGCAUCAUUACCACGCUUCGGUUGAAGCUAAGAGCUGCAAAGCAUUUGCCAGUGCCAUUACCACCACCAUUUCAUGUUGCAUGGCUUGACCGGUCGUAAGAGUCCCAUGCACGUCGCAACUCGCACAGGCAUUGCUCUUGCUCGCGGUGCCAUGAUUGCGCCUUUCACAAACUCAUAGUUGAUCAAUUGGAGCACUUGCGAUUAUUGAAUCAUUAUUGUACUACCAUUUAGUAUGAGAUUUGAAAUUUACUUAAUUUAAUUGGAUAAAUAACAGGCCAUAUCUAAUUAAUUAAGUCCAAGAGCUAACAAUUCCAGGCUGUAAUUAAUUGUGCGAGAUGAUGUGUUCCUAGUCCACGAUGACCUUGAGAAGGACAUUGAGGAAGACGAAGGCUGCAAACGAGAUCCUAGUUUCCAUAUCUGCCAGGGAUGGGAUUUCGGUGAGCUAGCUUAAAUAUAGAGUAUUAUGGCAUCUAGAAAUUAACAAUAAUACAGCAAUGCUUUACAGCACUCAAGUGUUUUACAGCAAUUCAACACUCAAUUCCUUUCUGUUCUCUUCCUCUCCCUCUCUUCUUCUCUAACUCUGGCAAGCUUAGAUGAGACUGUGGGAGGCAGGUCGGCCAAAUGGUGGAAACGGCAGGAGGACGACGGUUAGAGUUCCAGCGGUGUAGGAGGCGGUCGAACUAGGUCAGGGCGAGGGCAUCUAUGGCCAUACGACGGUGAGGGGAGGAGAAGAAGAAGGUUGUUGUGGGCGUAAUAGGGUCUCAUCGGAGCUCAAGACCCUACUGCACUGAGGCGGGGCAGUGGACGACGGUAGGGCAUCGGGAGGAGGAAGAGGACGAUGAAGAAAAAAUCAAGUGUUCUCGAGAGCCAAAACACUCAAGCGACAGAUGAUAGAUCCUAAUAUAGAAAUGCAACAAUGUAUCCAAAGUAUGGAGGCACUGCUGUGUUUGUUAUUCCCAUCCUAGAGGUAAUCUUUGGUGUCCACAGGGAGAUAUUUAUUUUGUUCGUGCCUCUCGAGCCUCACCAUAUCAAUUCUAAUUAUGUUUCCGUCUAAUGCUCCGUAUAUAUAAUACGCUAAUAAGAUAGUGAAAUAGACGAAACUGAUCGACACAUUAGGUUUUUUUUACAACAAAUAUUUUUCAUUUGAGCAGCAGGACGCUGCAAUCAGUCUAACAGACUGAAGGUUUACAUCUAUCAGAUGCAUCAGGAAUGGGCACUGAUAGGUAAGGCUCUGAUGAGAGCAUACAUGAUGGAAGAAAGAUUCAACAGGAACAAUAACUGAGAAAGCCUGUCUAUCUAAAGCAUAUGUUGUAUUAUUUAUGUUCCUAUUGAUUUUGAAGAUCAUGGCAUGACAUUGAUCACCUGUGUUCCUGAACAUCUGGGUGAAAAAGGUUUUAUCCUCCAGUCUACAGGAUGUUCUUGGUCAUCUUCAUGUAGGAAUUGUACUAGCUGCUGGUUAUUAGUGAGAAAGGUGGUGUCAGUGAAGUUGAGUCGUUCACUAACAACUGCUGCUAGAGCAAGUGCUACAACUUCCGCCAUGAGGACUGAGUGGACUUCCAAGGCUUGUGCUGUGAUGUAGAUGGUUUGUGUGGUUGUACCUAUGGAUUGACAAAAAAUCCCAAGUCCUAUAGCUAUAUACUGCCUGGUUGGUUGGUCAUACCUUAAGGAGGCAUCAAUGAAGCAUCUGACUCCUUGGAUGAGCUCCAAUAUAGAGAUGAAGUAUUUGUCUGUCUAAGGUGAAGCUCUUGCAUUAGAUGUGAUAAUACCUGGUGAAGUCGGGGUGGCUUGAUUUGUGAGCAUCAUUUUCUAGGGGGUUUGUGCUUGUUGUUCCUCCAUAGGGUGUGAGGUGCAGGUUCCUCCUGUUGGUGCUGCAUGUGAUCAGGUGCAGGCGUCUCCAUCUGUUGAGGUGUGUGGCUGUGAUCCUACGAAGUAAUAGCAAUGGCAGUUUGCGUACCUUGUGCAGUCAUUUGUGGGGGUUGAGGUGGGAUAAGUAGAGUGUCGGUUUGGUGGCUGCUAAUGUGGGCUACGACCACAUGGUGUACCUGCCAUGGAGUCCAAGUUUUUCUGUGAAAUCAAAUAUCAUUCCUAGCUUUCCACAAAUACCAGAAAGUGAUUAGUAAUUUGUUGAAUACAGUAGAUGGGAUGGCGGCGGGGAUGAAGCUUGGUAGGAUUAGUUGCACGCCAUUAGUAUCUUGAGGUAAAUUGUCAGUGCAAAGAAGGGGAUUUGAUGAGAAUACUGUUGUGGGAGGUGAUAGUGGAAGAAUAGGUGGGCAUCAUCCUCCACCACGCCAUAGGAACAUAGUGCUUGUCUAUGUGGGGGAGUAUCUCGCUGCUUGUUUUGUUGUAGCUAGGGCUCUUUUGAUGAGUCUCCAAGUGAAGGAUUUAACUAGAGAUGGUGGCUCCUUACUAUUCCAUUCUCUCUGCAUAAUGGAGUUAGCAUGGGGUCCACCUCAAGAUGUCAUGACCAUCACUAUGAAUAGUUGGUGUUACAGUUAUGACCUGUACAUCCUAAGCAUCAAAGAUGUUAGUGAUGAGGUGAACAUUCGUGUUAUGGGAAUUUGGUUGCUAAAGAUUAGAGAAAUGGUUGGCAUUGGAGAUUGAGUAGCUAGCAGGAUCAUGUGGUCAUGGAUAGAGUUCCGAAUGGGCACCAAGGGGUGGACCAUAUAGAACUGUUACUUGAAUGGAUCUAGUAGACAGAGUUGGAGCGAAGUUUAGUUUUGACCUACAAAAUAGAAGACCAGAAGAUUGAUCUAGGACCAGUGGUGUUGGCUUUCCAAAAGGAGGUGUUGUGGAACUAUUUAGCCUUAAGGACAGAGGUGAGCAUGGGGUUUUUAUUAGUAGCAAUGUUUGCCAAGACCCCCAUUCUUCUUGGGCUAGCAAAUGUCUUCCCAAGACAUGAACGCAAUGGGAGAUGUAGGGUUGUCUUUCUAGACUCUAGUGCACCAAAAUUUCCUGAUUAUAGUGUUGAUUUUACCUAUCAUAGUAUUAGAAAAUAGCACAGUACACAUGUAGUAUACAGGGACCAAAGCUAGGACAGAUUUGAUGUAAGUCAGUCUCCCUGCAUGAUUAAGCUUGUUAGCUUUCACAGUAGUUAACUUAGCUCUAAAUUUUUUAAGAAUAAACUCAUAAACCUUAUUCCGAUCAUUACGAUUAAAAUAAUCAGGUGGCCCAAGGUGCAUGCUAUUAGGAAGGAGGUCAGGGGUAGGAAAGAUGUUCCUGAUAUCAUUUCUAGUGGUCAAAGGCACCUUUUUACUAAAAAGGAUUGAGGACUUCUAAAGAUUGGGAGUUUGCCUAGAGAGGUGGCAAAAGUCUUGUAAAAUGUCCCAGAUUUUGGUGGCUUCAAUGAUGGAGGCCUCGCCACAUAAGAUUAGAUCAUCAACAAAGAGAAGAGAGUGAAUGGGAGGGCAACUAGGACCAAGGGAAAUGCCCAAAAAAUUGGAGUAAUGAGUUCAGUUUGAAGGUGAAUGGAUAGCUCAUUGGUGGCCACAACAAAAAGACAAUGAGAGAGGGGGCAGCCCGGGCGAAUACCAUGAUGGGGAGUGAAGGAGGUGGAAGGCUCUCCAUUGAUAAGGAUGGAGAAAGUAGUAGUGGAAAUACAAGCUUGAAUGAGGUUGGUGAAAUUGGAGGGCAGCCCAAGACGAUUUAGAGAGUCCCAAUUCAGACAAUCAAACGUUUGGCCAGGUCAAGCUUGAGAUAAAAAAGCUUGCUGGUUCCAGUUUUUUAGGUUGGAAGAGAUGUGCCUGUGUUUUGAUGAAUGCAACUUAAGAUUAUUGAGUCAAUCGACAGCAACUUUGGCGUUUAGUAGAACACAGCAUGGUGCCAAGAUGAUACUACGAUGUCAGCAAAAACUUGUGGGAUCCACCAUUUAGUAAACGAUUAAAGAAAUUUUGAUUUCUUUUUUGUCGUUUCUGCACACCUCCAUGCCUACCAUACGUGUACUGUGUUGUUUUCAGUGGCGGAGGCAGCUGGCAAGGUUCGGCCUCCGCCGUACCUAAAAUGUAUAGAAAACACUAGUAUAUUAUGUGUAUAUACGGUUAUACACGUGAAAUAUACAUGGCUUAGCCUCUGCCACUGUGCACGAAUAGAUUUUGUUUGUGGGCUGGUAUCUCGUGGGCUUACACGACUACGAGCCCGUUCGCUUCUUAGCUGUACUUUUUUUCAGUGAUUUUUUUUUGACCAGCGAAUAGGCUCUAUGUCAAAAGCCCACGACACUAUCCAUAGAAGGAAGCAGCUCAUUGGUCUUCCUGCCUUCCUGGCUGGUCGACUACUCCAGGUUUUAGUGGCCGACUUGUUUAGUUUCAAUUUUUUUUAGCAAAAUAGAUACUGUAGCACUUUUGUUUGUAUUUAACAAAUAUUAUUCAAUUAUAGACUAACUAGGCUCAAGAGAUCUGUCUCGCAAAUUAUAGACAAACUGUAUAAUUAGUUAUUUAUUUUAUUUAUAUUUAGUGUUUCAUGCAUGCAGUGGCGGAGGCAGGAUUUUUGCUUGGGAUAUGCCAAACAAAAAGUUUUCAUAUACAAAUCGGUAAAAUCUAUUUAGCAAUUCGGUAGAAUUUUAUAAAAAAAAUGUCUAACAAUUCGGUACACAACUGUUAAGGCCUUGUUUAGUUCCAAAAUGGACAUUGUAGUAUUUUCGUUUGUAUUUAAUAAAUAUUAUCCAAUCAUAGACUAACUAGGCUCAAAAGAUUUGUUUCGCAAAUUACAUGCAAAUUGUGCAAUUAUUUUUUAUUUAUAUUUAAUACUUCAUAUAUGUGCCGCAAGAUUCGAUGUGACAAAGAAACUUUCAAAAUUUUGCUAAUUUUUUGGGACGUAAACAAGGCCUAAAUGGCAUAAGUCGUGCGUCCAUGGUGUGUUUGAAAGGAGCGUCCGAGAGCAGGUGCGAGACGAAUACCGAGGUCUUGUUUAGUUCUUCUAUGGUCUCCAAUGGGAGGGUUAGCUGAUCCACAUUAGUUAACCACUACUCCACAUUGGGCAAAGUGAUUUUGUUAACGCACGUAGCCACGGUAAAUCAUAAUUAAAGAGCCAUCGUGAUCAACUUUCAUUAUGUGAGCUUGAACAAAAUGAUCAACAUCAAGAGUUGGCCUACAAAUAAUUGUAGAGCUUUGCUAAAUUUCCACACCCUUUCUCCCACUCCAAAAAGCCAAAGUGCUCAAUCCUUAAGCAAAUCAUUCCACCAGGAGAACAAAAGCAAUGUUGUGGUGAUCAACAUCAAGGUAUAUCUGUAGAGCUUUGCUUUUACCGGUUAACGUGCAAUAUGAGUGCACAAUUAUGUUUAGGAUAGAUUUAUUAAGCUAAUAUUGUUAUCUAGUGCCACUAGGUGGGGACUAACAAUACACAUGUGUUAGACUCAGUGACAUGGUGAGGAAGCAAGUGAAAACCUUUGAAAAUGCAAACUCAGUGCUAAAGGUGUUAUUGUUCCGUCUGCCACAUUUGGGAGAUAUCAUAUUUGAAAAAGGGUUUAAGAGAGGGGCUUGGUGAGAUGGUUUGAAUAGUCACUAGAUAAGUCCGGUGGUCAUCAGAGCUUAGGCACACCCACUUUACUAGUCUAGUCAUCAGGCUGUCUCACUCUGUAGUGGGCCACCAAAAAUAUCCAUGCCUCUAGGUCCGAGCACUAAAGUUUAGGCUCCUUCACUUUGGGAGAGAAGGGGACGCUGGACACGAGGCAACAAUCGGCAAUGGCUGCAAAGCACACAAAGUUUAGAAGGAUAAAGGAAGACGACUAGAGGAGGUUAAAUAGUCAUUUCUAUAACUAAAUCAUGAAUCCUAGGCAAAUAAAUAACAUUAAUAAACUAUUUGUCACUUCCCACUAUAACAGCAGAAAUAAAACAACAGAGAUAAUCUAUUUUCAUAACAAUACAAUAAAAGGUACAUGACUCAUUAUUUCCAUGAUGAUUCCAUCCCUACCUGCGAGCGUGGAAAGCCUAAAAAGCCUCUCUCCACGGCCUUCCUAAAAAAAGCCCACCUGGCCACCUGUAGUUCAAUAUAAGCUACUGGAGAAGCUAGGCGUUUGGUCCAUCUCGAACCGCUUUUAAAGCUAAACAGCCCAAUAACCCAUUUCAAACAAGGUCGAAGCCCAAUGAGGCAGGUGGCCCAAAACCUGACCCGAUUCUCUCCCAAUUCUUUUUCCUCGUGUUGGAAUCGGAAUUGGAAUUGGAAUUUGUACGUAGUGGCGGCGAUAUCUGGUUCAGAGUGGGUGUUGAUUCGUGGAGAGCAGCUGGUCGGGCCCAUCCGCGCAGUUGGCUUGGCUUGGCCGCUGCCGCCCGUGCUCGCACCGGCCGCCCCACCUCCAUCUUCCCAUGGUGGUGGUAUCAUCCCCCCCCUUUCCUCUUCCUCCUCCCCACGUGCAACCACCUAACCCCUCUCCCACCGCCCUCCUCGCCUAGCCCGCCGCCACAGCGGCCGUCGACGAGCGCCAUGCCCGCCGCGGCGUCCACCUCCGCGACCUCGCUGCUGCUGGGCGGCGGCAGGCUCCCGCGGCUCCAGCUCCAGUCCCUCCGCGCCCCCGCCAAGCCCCCCUUCCGCCGCCCGGCCUCGUCCCCGUCCACACCGCUCCCCAGAUGCCGCGCCAGCGCGAGCCCCCGCCCUCUGGGCCCCGUCUCCGCCUCCGCCCUCGCGCUGCCCGUGUCGGUGACGGCCGCUCCCCCACCGCAGGUGGAGGAUGGUGGCUGGGUGGGAGGCGCGGCCGCGGCCGCGGCCGUGAGGAGAGUAGCUGUGGCGGUGGCGUGCGGGGCGCUCGCGGCGGCGUGGUGCCGCCGGGCGAUGGCUGUGGGGGCGGCCACGGCGGCGGGAGCGGGAGCGGGGGCCGGGGCCGGGGCGACGGGGGCGGUGGAAGCUGCCGCGGGGAUUGGAGGGAUGGCGCUGCACGGGGGCUGGCCGAGAGUGCUGCAGAUUCUGCAGCUGCUCAGGGAGCAGGGCCUGGUUCUGGCCGCGCUGCUCGGCCUCUCUGCGUUCUUCUCCAUGGCAGAAACUUCUAUCACGACGCUUUGGCCUUGGAAGGUGCGUUCAGCAAGUCUACGGAGACCCAUUUUCUUAAACUCCUGUUGUUGCCAUAGUAAUUACUGUACGUACGCGAAAUGAACUAUGCUUCCAGUUUUGCAAUCGGUUUGGUUCACUGAGCUACGAGGUAGGAUAUUGGGAGAUUUUUGGAUACUUAGAUGAGCAGAUUGGUAUUGGUGUAGUGUUGCUGCUAAGAGGGGAUGCUGAGAUGGGGUGAGUGUCUUAUGGGUACGUCCUUGUAUCAACUACUAUACUCAUUCUAAAUGGGUUUAUGCAAUGAGUAUUUGUAUGAACAAAGCAAACGGAUACGCACUAGCUUAGGCUGUUGGGUUGGGCUGUGGCAUGUGUGGGUCGAGGAUGUGGCGGUUGUCAUGCACAUCCUGCUUCAGCAGUGAUGUGAUAAUUUUGUCUCGCUUGCUGAUGACAUAAUCCACAGCACAAGUUUGUAUUUGAGAAGUGAUGUCACUGCUGGGAGUGUUGCUGAAAGACAUGGGGAAAGCAUUAUUGCUCCUUCCUUUUUUUUGUAGGAUAGAGGGCUGAGCAGCAGGCAUAACUGAUUGACAAGCUGACAACAGCAAGGUGCUUCAGAUAUAAUGACAGUGUGCACAUGCGCUUUAGUGACAUGUUGUGCUAGUGAUCUGUAGGAGAAUUAGGCAGGGAAUCUAUGCAAGGAAAGUUUUUAUUAUUUUGAAACUGGAACUAAUGACACUGGUAUUGGAUUACCGGUCUUACUGACUUUAUAUAUAAUCUCCCUUCACACCUAAUCUCAUCAACUGGAUAGGUAUUUCUGGUUCAGAAUAUUUAUAGCUUUGAACAGAACAUUGGUGCUCUUGUAACUAUCAUUAAAGGGGUCCUGCCUCUUUGUUCAUGUUUAUCAACAUUUAAAUUCAAUUCUAAUUCUUCAAAGACUACAACAAGGUGAUCAAUGUAAAUUGAUGGCUGGAUUCGGUUAAUCACAUGUUGAACUUGCAUUUUAUUUUUAGUAGAGGUUUAUUUGCAAGCACAGGAAUAAUGAAGCCCUAGGUUUAGUGCAUUUUUUCCCUCCAGAGUUGAGCCUAAGGAUUCAAGUUCACUGACACUUAUCAUUGUGGGUUCAAGCAUUUGCACACAUAUUAGCAUAUUGAAAUGGCUAAAGUAUUAGAGGUUGGUGCUAGAGUCUUUCCAUAACAGCGCACUUGGGACUGAAGUUUGAUUCAUGCAAAAUUUUUCAAUUGAAUCAUGCUUGAUGUUCAAAAACUAGCAAGAAUCAUAGAAAUAGCAACACUGUAUUGUGUAAUAGGUUGCAUACCUUUUCCCCCUUUGCAUUUGUUUAUUUUUCUAACGUUGUUUGGAAAUUGCCACAUCAAGGCCUAAUUUUCUAGUGAUCUGCCUAGCGCCCAAUAGCUAGCUAGCCUCUCUACUCAAGCAUUGAGGCAUCACCCCCUUCUACCCACCUAGGGCAUUUUCAGAUCAGUGUUUUGAAACUUUGCUUCGUAGUGGUACUCUUUUCUUAUUGUAACUGACUGUAUGCUGAGAGCGAAUAUCUAUAUGCUGAGACUUUGCUGAUUUCUUUUUUCCUUUGCAUUAGGUUCGUGAACUAGCUGAGAAGGAACCUGAGAAUGGUGUUUUCAAAAUGCUCCGAAAUGACGUCACUCGUUUCCUGACAACUAUUCUCAUUGGCACAACGUAAUCCAUGGCAUUUCUAAGUUGUGCAUCACUCAUUGCAAUUUUGUUUUACUAACCCUAAACCCUAAUCUCGGGCAUAAUUUGUAUGAAAUAGUGUGGUCAACAUUGGCGCAACAGCAAUUGUUACUGAGGCAGCAACAGCAAUGUUUGGUGAAGCAGGUGUUAGUGCAGCAACAGGUGUCAUGACAGUAUGUCUCCUGUCUCAUACUGGCCUUCUGCUCUUGUGUAAGUGUUCUUUAAUCUAACUAUGGAGCACCAUUUUUUAGGUUGCCAUCUUACUUCUUACAGAGAUCACUCCCAAAAGUGUUGCAGUCCAUAAUGCCACCGAGGUCGCUAGGUUUGUGGUAAGGUGAGAGAUAUCAAGUAUAACUUAGUUUCAAACAUGUUUAUUUUGAGUACUGAACAUUGUGCAUUUGUUGCGAUAUAUCAGACCGGUCGCAUGGCUUUCGCUGAUCCUCUAUCCAGUUGGGCGGAUUGCUACUUUUCUGUCUAUGGGAAUGCUAAAGAUUCUAGGCCUGAAAGGGAGAAGGUAAGACUGUAAGAGUAUGUAUAAUACUCUAGUUCUUGAUCAACUAGAAGAUAAAUUCUUUGAAAAUAUGCCAACUCAAUAAGCUCAUGUUAGUCAUAGAUUAUAUCCCCCAUUAGUUAUGAUAUGCUUUCAAGAAGGAUACACAAACAAUAAAUUAAUUCAUGCCACAAGAACCACACAGAACUCUUUUUUAAGAGCAUAUGGCUUGCUCUGCGUAGUGGAUAUAACCAGGGAAGCACAAGGAUUGAGUUUCUAGGUGUGUGUGGGUUCUGCUCAGGUGGGCAACUCUAGCUUCAUCCAUCUGUAUCUUUUUCUUGAUGAAAUGGCAUGCAGCUCUUUUGCGUCAUUCGAGAAAAAAUAACCAGGGAAGCACACUGAUUGAGUUCCUGGUUCCUGCCAAAUAAAAUCUCACCUGUUUUCUUUUAAAAAUGGAUUAAACUUGUAUAUUACUAGAAUUCAAGUACAAAUGAGAUGGUACAACAUGGACUAGAUUAGACUAGUUUGAGUAUGUGUUGAGUCUAGUUUAUAGGGUGAUAGUUGUACUUUCUAAAAUUUCUAUAAUUAGUAAAUAGUGCAGUGACUAUAUUUUUAAUCAAUAGAUGACCGUUGACACUAUUCCAAGAAUUGCAUAUCAUCUGUUAUUGUUCAUGAAGGAUCUAAUUCUAGUUUGAAUUUGCUAGAAACUUAUUGAUUGCUUUCUGUAUAAUUUAGUUUACAAAUUGAAUUUAGUAUCUGAUAUUGUAAUACAAUACACAUUUGUAUGUUAUUUUUUGCAUUUUUUUUACAAAAUCCAGUACUCAAGUACAUUGAUUUGCUAUGUCUUUUAGUUACUACAUUUGUAUAUGUUUAACCAAUAUACAAUUGAGAUUCCUAUAUAGAUAAGAUUUAGUUUUUCUUUUUCAUAACUCUUGACAUUUCUGGAGAUCUACUUCUGAAUCUUGUGCAUCAUAUACACUUCUUUCCUCAGUGAACCAUAUGUUACUGAAGAUGAACUGAAGUUAAUGUUACGAGGAGCAGAGUUGAGUGGUGCAAUUGCAGAAGAUGAACAGGUUAGACAAUCUAGUAUAUGGAGAUGCCCAUAUAUUGUGCUGCAUAUUUCCUUCUUUAUUCUUUAUGUUUCUGUGUACCUCACAGCAAGAUUUUGUUAUCCAGUGCAAUCUAGGCAAAGCCUUUACUUACAAUUUUUAUAUCAUAUAGAAAGCUGACUACUUACAUAAAUAAAGAGUGAAUUAAUGAAAUUUCAGGAAAAUAGUAACUAACGUUUUUGCAUGAUUUUAACUGCUAAUUUAAUGUUUGUACACCAUCUCAUCACAUAUAUCCAGAAUUUGAAAAGCAGUAUGGCCCCAAAGGUUUGAGUUAGAUUAUACUGUUGCAGACUAGGAUUUUGCCUCUUGAUAGUUUACUAGCACACUUUGGCUACUUCUUUGUUUUCUUGAAAACGCAGGAGAGCUGCACUUCAUUAUAUUAAGAGGAUAAAGGGCAAGAGCCCGAACAACCCCACAAACACCAUACACACACCACACACAUCACACACUCACGCCCCAACAGAAAUGUUACAUUCGCGCCCGUAAGAAAACACACAACGCGACCACUACUAGGCUAAACAUUUCUAACUAUCGGGGAGGAGGGCAGUCAAGAAUGAUAGCUCUCGAGCUGCUGCCAUAGACCAUAAACGGCGCUCCUCGCCUGCUAUGAUCAGAGCGCCAGCAAGGUUUGGAGCUGCUCCAUCAAAGACACACCCAUUGCGAUGGUUCCAUAUAGUCCAAGCUCCGAGCAUAACAAGAGAAUUAAUUCCUUGCCUUGUCAGCCCAUCAGCAGUGCUGCUAGCCUUCUCCCACCAAGCAUGGAAGGAUAAUUCUGUAAGCUGAGGGGACAAAAGCCUGAUUGAACCAAAAUUCUCUUGUGAACACACAAUGGACAAGUAGAUGGUCGAUAGUCUCCUUUUCAUGGUCACAAAGGAGGCAAUUCUCCGGAUGAGGUAACCCUCGGCGUGCUAGACGAUCAGCUGUCCAGCACUUAUUGUGCGACCAGCCACAUAAAGAAACGGCAUUUGGGCAGCACCCAUGAUUUCCAAAUCUUUUCCCAUGGUCCAAAAAGAGUAGAUCCGAAAAAGAAGCCUUCAUAUGCCGAUUUAGCCAAGUAUUGUCCAUUAGAGGAGAGCCUCCAUAGGUGCUGCAGCUGAAAAUCCAGAAGUAGAUCCCACCAUAAGUGAAAGUAGUCAACAAACCCACCAACUGUGAGCGCUCCUUGUAUGUCCAAAAUCCAAGCCCGGUUAGUAAGGGCAUCCUGGACAGUAUGCUGCUUAACCCUCCUUUUAGGAGUAGCCACAAAAAGUCGAGGGGCAAGAUCUGCAAUGCAUUGCCCAUUGAUCCGAUCUGUCCAGAAAAGAGUGUUUGCACCAUCCAAUUUCAGAAGUUACUGCCACUGAGUAGAAGGCUCUUACUUGCUUCGGCACAUGGAAUGGUAGAGCAGCCCAAGGACAAUGAGGUUCUGUUUUCUGCAGCCAAACCCAUCUCGUGCGCAAGGACCAGCCAAGGGUUUUUAAAUCUGAAAUUCCCAGGCCUCCAAGCUCUGGUGGGCCACAGACUUUGACCCAAGCCACAAGACAAUGACCACCUUUUUGCAUAUUUUCGACCCCUCCAAAGAAAGCCACGCCAAAUUUUAUUUACCACUUUGAUAGCCAUGGAGGAAAGUCGAAAGCAAUAGCUAAGUAAAUGAGCAUUCUCAGUGAGAACUGAUUGUACUUGAACCCUUCUUCCAGCCCUUGUCAUUAGGUCUGCCUUCCAGCCAGGAAGUUGAUCUGCAGUACGAUCAAUAAUAGGCUGCACUUGUUUCUUUAGGGAGAGGGGCAGACCUAAGUAUUUGCAUGGGAAAUCCGAGAGGGGCACACCUAGCUAGUUUCUUUGGCUACUGUUAUCCUUUAGGUAUUUUGCAGAACCUUUCCAUAGCAAUCCCAUUAAUCUUUAGGAAGCGAUCCCAUUUGUUAAAGCCCCUGCAGGCAACUUUCAAGUUCAUUAUUCUCGAUCACAGGUAGUCAUUCUGCAUAUUUUUCCCUCAGAAUCAUCAUAAGAAUUGGGUUAAGUGGAUAGGUCAGACUAUAGCAUGGAAAUACAUAAGUACUGAUAGGUUGUUGAAACUAUCUAAGACUACAGAUUUAUCGUGUCAAUUUGUCACAAAUAACAGAUUUUAGCUGAUGAAAUCAGUACUUCUGCAGUACAUAGAAAUACUAAAUGUGUAGUUUUAGUUUUGCAAAAACAAGGACACUAAAUUUAUAAUUCUGUGAUAAAACUUCUUAAAUCUGUAGUUUUGUGAUAGCAUAGCCCACUCACACAUAUACAAAAAAAAAGAAAAAGAAAAAAAGGAACCAUAUAGUUAUUUAUGUGCUUAGAUUCUAGGCCCUAGAACUAGAACCUAUAGCUGUGUUACACUAUUAUGAAUUCCUAGUCCGUGCCUGCUUGUGCAGGACACUUUUCUACUUGAUCAGCUAAAGUCAGCACCUGAGUCUUUUAACAGGAUAUGAUCGAGAAUGUCCUGGAAAUUAAAGAUACACAGGUGAGGGAAGUAAUGACGCCUUUGGUGGACGUAGUUGCAAUUGAUGCUAUUGCAACACUUAUUGAUUUCAAAAACUUGUGGGAAACUCAUCAGUACUCUAGGUAUUGUCAACUAUUAUUGUCGCGUGUAUUUUCAAGUCUUAUCACUGACAUCUGCUGCUAUUUGUUAUUUCCAGAGUUCCUGUAUUUGAGGAGCGCAUAGAUAAUAUUGUUGGAAUUGCAUAUGCAAUGGACAUGCUUGAAUAUGUUGAAGAGGUAUGUCUCUUGUUUACCAUUUAAUGUAAAACUUAAUCACAGUGAGUCUUAUUUGCUCCACAUGAUGCUUCUCUAAAGGGAAAGUAAAAGGUGUAUUUUUCUUUUGAAGGUUGAGAAGCUGAAUGAAAUCACUGUUAAGAAAAUCGCACAUAUGCCUACAUACUUUGUUCCAGGUAAUUUUUAGUAACAUUGUUGGAUACAAGUAUCAUGAUGAACUAAAAGAAGGCAUCUGUCAGUAGUUAUAGGGUUGGAUGUUUUUCCACAACAAUUAAUCAUUUCUGCCACAUGUUUUCUCCCAUCUAUGCAUCAUGGAUGUAACAUAUGAUACUGUUUCAUCUGGCAGAUUCAAUGUCUGUUUGGAACCUAUUAAGAGAGUUCCGGAUCAGGCAGGUUCAUAUGGCAGUGGUCCUUAAUGAAUAUGGUGGAACUAUUGGUGUAUGUCCCUAUGAAACCCAUUUUUUAUACUUUACAAACUGGACACAGUUUAGUACUUGUUAAUAUUCUUGUUAUGCUUUCAUCCAAGGCUAGUUGCUCAAUUGAGACCAUUUUGACUUAUGGCACACAACGAGGUUCAACAUUGUUUACUCCAAUCAAUUUUUAGUUGUAACUUCCAAGCAUGCUAGUUAGUUUGCUAAUAAUUGAUGAAUGCUAGUCAGUACAUGGUGACAUUUUGAUGGCCAUUUAUUGGCAACACUACUGGCUUUUGUUCCACAAUGGUCGUGUUUUUAGCACAAGCAUGUGGUGCGAUGCUUCAAGUGAUCUUGCUGCACAGCUUAUGUAACUGCAGCAAUGGGGCACUUUUCAUCUGUUGCAGUAGCAGUCCCUGUUGUUCAUGGUUUGUUUCCUUUUAAGAUAUACCCCACACAUAGAGAUUAGUUAUGCUCCAUGCAGCAGAGAUUAUUACUUUCCACAAGUUUAGAGAUUGUUUCUUAGGAAGUAGUUAUGCUCACAGUUUGUUCAUCAGUUUCUGUUUUCAGAAGUAGUUGAUGAGCGAUGAACAUGUUUUGAUUAUGUUUGCUGCUGAAAGGAUAAUUCUUUAAGAUGUUUUUCUCAUUACUGAUGCUCAUUGGUAAAAGUUGCAAAUGAUUGGACAAAGCUACUACCCGUGAGCUUCCUUUGUCUCACAUACCCUUCGAGCAAUUACGCUUUAAUGUAGCAAUAUCUAUCCAUUACUUGCAGCAACUAAGUCCUAUUGUAUUCAGAAAUGUUUAUUAGAACAGUUUGUAAUUUCAUAUGUUUAUCACUGCAUGGGACAUUGGGAAUUACUCUGACCUUUGGCCAAAAAAAAAUGCAGAUUGUAACACUAGAAGAUGUAGUGGAAGAAAUAGUUGGUGAAAUAUUUGACGAGAAUGAUUCCAAGGUGAUUAUUUCUGGAAUUUUUUAUUUCAAAUCGCAAGUGGGUGUUCAGUGCCAUACAUAUGCAUGCUAUUAUUUUCUAUUUCUUUUUCAAAAUUAUUUCCCCCUUUCUUUUGGUUUAUUAUUCCCUUUUUGCCUUGUAACUAUCGUUCUUAUAUUACAUAACUGACUUUUCAUAUGUUGGUAAUAAAUAAUGAUAUGCUAGCAUUUGAACUUACGAAAUUUAGUGGGCCAAACAUACUGAGCCAUGCCAAAAAAGACAGGCAAAUCAUACAGUCAUAUUUUAGCAGCAGCAGUGCAUUAGCGCGGUGGGUACUGAGCCGGAGUUUGCAUGUGCCUGAAGGUGGCUGAAUGAAUAAGGUGGAUAUUACCCUACCCGCACCCAAAUCAAAAUGUGUAUUUUAUUUCUACCCAUACCCUCCCCAAUUAAUGCGGGUGUGGAUUUGAAUAUGGGGAUUGAAUAUCCAGCGGCAGGUAUAAAGAUUAGAUCUCCUGCCUCAGUGCUUCUCCAAGAUCUGGAAGCAGCUGCUUCACUCCUAUUUUCUGUAUCCUAGUCAAAACAAAGGAUUUUUCCAUGUAGCAAGCUAGUUGCUCUUUGUCAUUUGCUUAGGCAGUCUCUCAAUUCCUUCUGCUACUCUGUUUUUCACCCUUUCAGGAGGAAAUCCAGAAGAAAACAGGCUAUAUAGUGAGGCGGGGAGAUGGAACAUUUGAUGUUGAUGCAAAUACAUCAAUAGAUCACCUCUCUGAAGAGCUUGGUAUCAAAAUACCAGAGGUAUUGUUUCUCAUUUGAUCUUAGCUUUCUCUACAGUUGCUAUGCAUUCCCUUGGACAUGUGUAUAUUUAAGGAAGGUAUGGCUCGGAAAAUAGUAGAUUGAUUAUGAGUAGUACAAAAGGGUAGGCAAGGAUGAUCUGGGAUUUAUAGAACAAUACCCAAUCAGGGAGAUCCUUGCCUAAUAGCUAAUCAACUACAUAAAACCCAUGGAGGCAGGCUUAGGUGCCAGGGCCCAUGCGGCCAGCCCAAUAGCCCUCUGGAAACUCCAUUCUAACAUAUAUGUUGGAGUGGACACUGUAUGAUGAUCAUCGAAAUGUGAGUUCCAUCAUUUAGAGAUGCCUGGUUUGCAGAACCUAUACAGAUAUAACGUUAUUAUAUCUAUUUUUUGGUGGAAACUGGACAUUUAAUAUUUAGGUCAACAAAAUAUUCACAAAUGUUCUGUUUGUAAAAUAUGCCCUUGGUAGUCAUCAUUUAUAUGGUGCUCUGUAUUUCUGUCAUGUUUCUCGUAGAUUGGCUGAUAAUCUUGAGACACUUGGACACUAUCUUUUGGCAGGGGCAUCAGUAUGAGACGGUGUCUGGUUUUGUCUGUGCAUCUUUUGGCUAUAUUCCAGAAGAAGGUGGGAAAAUGCUUGUGAUUCUUGAAAAGGAUUACAGAGAAGAAAACGGUGAAUAUCAGGAGGAAGGUUCUGAUCGCCAAGAUGAUAGAGAAAAAACUCAAGCUUACGAACUUGAGGUAAUUGUUACAACUCCUUGUGUACUCUGUUUGCUCAAGAGUUCUAGUACCAGGUCAAUUAUUAUAAUGCGAUUAUCUUGUCAUCGCUAGAAAUCUUUACUAGUAUAUAUAACUAUUAUGAAUUUUCCUUCAUUACUUGAAAGCUGAAAGACACCACAAAAGCUUCAAUUUUCUUUGUUGAUGCAAUACCAUGAAACCUUUUUUGUUAAAUAACUCUCAUUAGAACCAAUUUUCCAUACAGGGCAUUUGGUUCUUAGAUCAUUUUAUAGGAUAUUUCGUACUAUAAGUAAGAACCAACUACUAUCCACAAUUACCUCUACAUGCUUGUUUGUGCAUAUAAAAAGACAACAAUACUCAGAAGGUUGCUGUAACAUGUCCACACUCCGCUUUUGUGGUGCUAAUACUACCGAACAUUUGUAAUUGCUUUUUUUAUUUGAAGCUAAAAAAAGAAAGUAUACAAAAACUAAUAGAUAAGAAAACCAACUACUCAAUUGUCAAUUCAGAAUUCAUACUGUGGGUUAUAAGGUUAUUUCAGUGAAAUUGUUUUGGUAUUGGUACACAACCUUUAUUAGUUGGUGCAACUCCCAUUUCCGGAAGUCUUCGUACACUUUAAUUGAAUUGCUGCAGCCCUAGGAAUCCAUAGUUUCUGUUUCACAAUUCACCCAAAGUUUCAUUCUUUGUUGCAGAAUUAAAUAACCUUCUGUAGUUGUUUUCACUACCUUUAUUACCUGGCUUCUCUUGCUCACAGAUAGUGGAAGCUAAUGCAAGGAAGGUGGGCAAAGUCCUAUUUAAGCCAAUAAGCAGUGAAUGUGUUGGUGUUGACAACAAGGGUGUGAACCGCCUGGUCUCCAAGAAGAUCAUCAAACGGAAGAAGCAGGGCUAUGAUGAUUCCUCCGGUGACGAGUAUCCAGAUACAACAGAGAAUGGCUGCCCUGCUGAGGCACUCUCCUACUCGGAUGGUAACAGUGCCUUGUUGGAAGAUGCAAGCAGUUCUAGUGCCAAGAGGUGACAAUAAAGGAACUCCAAGACCAUCGUACUACUGGUAAUAAUUACAGCACACCGUCACCGGUCCUAAUACCCCUUGUUACAACAGAAGAAGAUGAGAAGAACAUAGUAGUAGGCUACCCAAAAAAAAAAACUGCGAGAGCAACACCAAGAGGUUAACAGCAGUUUAAGGCAUUGCAACAUUUUUCAGUAGCAGGAGUAGCAGUAGUAGCAGUCUAGAGGUGCAGCGAGGUGUCGACGUCGACUUCACCAGAGACAUGUUUGUAGUUGUAGGUCUUACUGGGCCACAGCUCCACCGCAAUGGGGUCGCUAUCGCCGUGGAGCUGGAAGCUUUUGCAUUCACAGACAGUGGUUGGCACGGCCGGGAAUAAGGAGGCUGCGGCGGCAACAGCGGCAGUGGUUUCCCGCAGCGGCCUGCACGGGUAGAGCAGCUCCGGGUGGAAGAACCACUUGACGGGCAUCUCCCUCGGGGAGGCGGUGGCCGCAGGGCGGGGGGCGAGCACGUGGAGAAGCCUCUCCUCCCGCUUCUCCCUGAUCCUCUCCAGCUCCCUGAACCUCUGCUGCAGCAGGGCGAUGGAGGAGAACAUCACCUGGCCUUCGCUGCUCUGCACCCCCAUGAUGACUGGGCGAGAGGGGGAGCUCUCACUCCAGCUCCGAGUUUCAGUUACGUGUUCGUGUCGUGUGUAUCUCACUCAAGCGUCUGUCUACUUCGCUCGGUGUGUGUGGGGGUUUUGCUUGCUGCUUGAAGGGGUGGUGGUCUUGGGCAUGUGCGUAUUUAUAAGCCGCAAAGUUUUGUCACGGCGCAGGGCGUCGUCUUGUGGUCGUCUUGCAAGUUGCGCCAAUUCUUUCAUCUUCAUCUUCCAUUAUGUGAUGCUAUGCCUGUUUGUGUGUUUUGUUUAUGGGCUGAUUGAAAAACAAAAGAGGCACUAUUGGUAUGAGAGAGAAUCUGGGAGGAGAAUGUCACGUCGCCCGAGAAAGGAAGUGGGAGGCGUGCAGGUGAGAGAAUAAGGGGCGUGGCGUGGGAGAGUCCAAGGAAAUGGGGCUGUGGACGCUUGCGCUUGUUCCGUUCCUGGCGGUGGGAAUCGCCGUGUGCCGUUGUGAUGUGCGGGGUGGCCAUGAUUGCGCCUCUGUUUGUCUGUCACCUUUUUCCCUUGCGCAUUGCUGCAGCAGCAGGGCAGGGGAGAGGUCUGCAUGCCCUGCCAUGCCCUGCCCUGCUGCUCGUACUAGCUCGCUACUACUCCCUUCCCCCUCUCCAUCCAAACGGGCACUGCGAGCUUUUCCUGGUCUAUAAUGGCGUCGUUGGAGCUGUAGUACGUGCUGUUCGUAGCAACUGUGGGCAGCGCUUUCAGGUGUGGAACUGUGCACUCCAUGAGCCAUUGUCUUCGUUUGCGUGUGUGAACGUGUUGGAGAGUCUGGGAGCAGAAAGUCUGCGUUGAACGUUACUUCUUUGGGUCUUUGACUGGUGCGUCCAUAGAUCUGUGAAUGGGAGCGCUGAUUGCACGCUGCGUAGUACAGUGCGUUCGAGUAACGCUGAGACGGCGUGCUGCUUUGAAGUUUCAACUUUUGGUUAAUUCAGGAAAGUUGAUUGAUCUUAUGUUUUUUGACGGCCAGGUAAACACGGCCAAUUGCACCGGCGUCAAAAAGACCUCUGUCAUCCGAUGCUUUGGACAGUAAUUGAGAUAUUCGUAACAAAUGCUUCACUACCCGAAGAGAAAACUAGUUUUCGUUGGUUUCCGCAUUUUGUGAAAAUAAGAAAGGGCAUGUUUGAGUCAGAGUCGGGUUAUUAUAAUUGGAUUAUCGACUCUAAUAAUUAGAGUGCUAGAUUUUUUGUGGUGGAACCUAUCCAUUUCUUGCCUAGCCAGCCAACUAUCAUGAUGCUACAUGGUAUUUAAGUAACGACCAUUUUCUCAAAUGGUCAAGGAUUAUAUUCUUCUUUGAUUUUUUUUUCCCUUCAAGUGGCCUAGGGUUUUGUAGUCUAAUGUGAACAAUAUCAGGUGAAAACAAAAUAGCAUCAAAGAAUAGAUAGCCAAAAUGCCUAACGAAAAGGAAAAUUGUGGGUUACAUGUCUCAUGAAUUAUUUGAUGAAGUAGAAUAAGAUACGUUCGGUUAUUUGAGAGAAAAAAAAACUGCACAACAUAAAAAAAUAACUGUUUGCCUAGUUGGCUAAGAAAAAAUAUAGUGGGCUCCAUGGCUCCUAAGACUCUUUAAAUAUCAUGUAAAUGGAUAUAAAAGAAGUCAAUAAAUCAUUCUGCUGAUAUUGACUGAAUUAUUUGCUAUCAACAAUUAUCCAAAAAAGAUUUCUUUAAGAAUAAUAUUUCUACCAUGUAAAACAAGAAGAAAAAGACAAAUUAAUCGGAACUUUUGUUUGUGGCUGGAACUAUUGUAAAUGUCAUUGUUGAGUUGAGAUAUUUUUUUUUUGAAGUUCCCUUUUUGCGAGGAAUGAGUAAUCUGAACGUUAUUUGUUUGUGGUUGUUGAUUCCCUGGAGCUGUUAUAGAAGUCAUUAUUGAGUAGAGAUUUUUUGAAGUUCCUUUUUGCAACGAAUGAGUAAAUAGUUGCAUAGAUGUUUGAUGGUAUUAGCAUACUCUGCUUCUAAAAUAAUGAAAGGGAUUUUCCGUUACUAUUUAGUUGUGGACUGAGGCCUGAAGAAGUAUGUUUUGAAACUCGGAAUUUCAUGGAGGAUUUGUAGGAAUCCCAUAUAUAAUAAACAUGUCAAAAUUAAUCCUCCUAUAUUUUCUUGGUCAUUUUCUAGAGCUAGGCUCAUUUAUCUUUAAUUUGUCUAGUGAAGAGUAUAUGUAUAUCCUUUGCUCCAAACAUGUAGUGGUGAGUGGAGUUUACUAAUAUUAUUAUGUGUAGUUAACCUAGAACUAGAAGCUUGGUAACUGAGCCUUAUCUAAUCUGGCCCUAAACUAACUUAUCAUCCAAACUGAUCAGUUGGAGUCUUGUGACGAUGAUAUCUCUGGUUUGUUGUGGAACGGGACUAGUACUGCCGGACAUAUUAUACAUUGGAUGCAUGCGACAUAUAUACAGUGUUGAACUUGUUUAUAUUAAUUUAUCCUGGAUAGCCAAUAGUAGCCCAUAACAUUAACAUGCAACAUAGUAUAUGCAUUUGCAUGUACUGCUAGUUCCCUGCUACGUACGAUCCUGACAGUAGGCACCUAAUCUUUCCAUGCCCCAAUAUUUUACCGCCGCUGUCGCUUCCAUUCUAGAGAGAGAACAAUAUGACCAUCUUGUAAAACAUUCUAGAGAAGAGAUGCAUGGAGAGUAUGGCAAUAAUUUAAGCAGAUUGAUGGGAGCGAGAUAUUUUUAAAGGCAGAUCAUCGAUUGAUGCAUGGGAGCGAGAGAGCUUAGCAGAGAAAAUAAAGAAGAUUGGUGAUUGGUGAUAGGCCGGGGCAGCCGUGGUGCAGCAGCAGCUAGAACUAGAGAAGCUAAAAGGAAGGCUGAUGGCAGGGCAGGGCAGUAGUUUAAGGACGGGUCCAUGCCUGCAGCUAGCUAGCAUCUAUCGACGUUCCUCCGUUGUCGCGGAGCCGGUGGACGCGAAUGGCAUGCGUGGGUGCACUACCCUGCUGAUGCACACAGCAUGCAUUGCUGCCUGCAUGCGACAUGGUAUACAGCUCCCGGCCGGCGUCUCUCCUCUCCUCUCUUCUCUUCUCUUGUCCAUCCAUCGGCAGCAUACGGUCGGUCACUCGCAGCAUGCAUGCUCCUCUGAUCGAGCUCUGCUGGUGUCGUGUCGUGUCGUCGAUGGAUCGGGGCCGGGUUGGGUGUUGCUGCAUUGCAUGCUCCCUAAAGCGCCGCCCUUGUUGCCAAAGUGAAUGCUGCCGACGACGACCGCCGCGCCGCCCGUCUUCUUUUUCGGCGGAGGGGGGCGGCCGGGCACGGGCACGGGCACGGCACAGUCUUCCGGGCAGGGGCAGGGGCAGCCGGGCAAGCCAACACCUGCUAGCGGACGAGAAAUUGAAUCGAAUGGGAAACAAAGAAAAAAUUGAUGGCUGAUGGCUCCAUCUUUCUUUCUGUCUGUCUGUCUGUCGGUCAGUCAUUUUACUAAUUUAUUUGACUGCGCUACGGAGACGACAGUGUAACAUUUUUAUUUGUAUUUAAUAAUUAUUAUUUAACUAUAGACUAAUUAGGCUCAAAAGAUUCGUCGCGUAAACUAUAGACAAACUGUGCAAUUAGUUUUUAUUUUCGUCUAUAUUUAGUACUUUAUACAUGUGCCACAAGAUUUGAUAUGACGGGAAAUUUUAAAAAGUUUUUGAAUUUCGAAGUGAACUGGUCAAAUAUGCAAUGCUUGUACGUGCGCACUAGUUUAUGCCAAUGAUUCAUUUUUCGCGGAUCCUCCGAAUUUCACACCAUACAGUCAGAAUAUAAUUGCUCCAAGACACGUCAAUUUUGAUGCGUCAAUUUGUGCAUGUGGUUCCUGGCACUACUGGAUCCGGCUUCUUUGCCGAGAGCCGCGAGCCCUCGGCAAAUGCCUAAAAGCCCUCGGCAAAGGCUUUGCCGAGGGCCAUAAACGCCCUCGGCAAAGCCUACGGCGCCGUCGAAAAACGUCAAUAUUGACGUCGUCUUUGCCGAGAGCCAUGCUGGCAGGCUCUCGGCAAAGAUUCUUUAUUUUUUUUAAAAAAAGCCUUUGCCGAGAGCCCUGCAGGAAGGCUCUCGGCAAAGAACCCCUUUGCCGAGAGCCAGACAUCCAGGCUCUCGGCAAAGAACCCCUUUGCCGAGAGCCAGACAUCCAGGCUCUCGGCAAAGCUGUAGUUCUUCUGAACCCGGCUUUCUAUCUUUGCCGAGUGCCAGCCAUCCAUGCUCUCGGCAAAGCUGAGAAUUUAGUUUUUUUUUCUGUUUUUUAUCUGUUUUUUACAUGCACAGCCACAUAUGUAUAUAUAUAUAUCACAAAUCCCUUUGUCUAUAUCACAAUCCACAUAUAUAUCACGCAUGAAACAUAUCGAAGUCCACAGAUAUCACAAAUCCACAUAGAUAUGACAAAUAUAACAUUACGUCCAACAUAAACCAUAAGUCACCACAAGUUCAUAACAUAAACCACAAGUCCACGUGAAUAUCACUCCUCGAAGUCGCUAGCGCCUCACCCCUAGUGCUGUGACUCUGACCUGUCGUCGCCGUGGCCUCCGUCGUGUCCCGAGCCUCCAUCUGGCCAAGCCGACCAGGGUGAGUGCCCCCCAGGGUGUGUAGAGCUCGCACCUGCCCACGGCGCCCACAUGGCCUGCCCUGGCACCGACGGGUACGGGUACGAGUACCCGGGGCGCGGAGGAGGGCUGCCGGACAACCCGGGGUGGCCGUGCUGCGGAUGGGCACCAGGCCACGUGUGCUGCGUACUUGGGUGGCCAUAAGUAGUAACCUGCCACCCACUCCUUGGAGAAGGGGUCGGGUUCGAACCCCACGACUGAUGCUACAUAAUAUAAAAGCGAACUCAUUAGUAUCUGCAGGACGGCCACACAAGCCAAAGCAAUAGACAAACAUAUAUACACUCACCGGACUGCCUGCAGGGGCAGGAACAGGGGGUGGAACAGGGGGUGGAGCGAAGAGCGAGGCAGGCAGCGGAGGCGCUGUAGAGCUGUGGAUGGACUGGAAGUAUCCGACUAGGUCCGAGAUCUGACGCUGCGUGUGCUGCUGCUGUGCCUCCAUGUGGCGCCGAUGGGCCUCGUCUCUGGCCGCCAGCGCGGCCGCCAGCUCUCGCCGAUGAGCCUCCUGCAGCUCGUCCUGCCUGGCCCGCAACUCCUCUAGCUGCGACUGCAAUAUUACACCCGCAAUGGUUAAACAAUGCAAAAGGAGAUGUAUAUAUGUAAAAAUAAUGGACGAUGGAUAAAGCUGUAGUUACCUGCAUCGUAGCUAUCUGCUGCACGGAGCUCGGCUGACGAGGCCGUAUGGGGACGUCGGAGGUCGAGCUGCUCCCCUGCCGAACCUCGCGGAGCGUGGGUACGGUGGCCGGGUUGAUUGCGCUGUGGGCAAUCAUGUACCGGCCGUGCUGCUUCCCUCCUCCCGUCCUCAUGAGCAAGUCCGUGUCCGAGACCCUUUGCCGUGGGCCGUCCAGUCUGGCUCUCGGCAAAGACCCUUUGCCGUGAGCCUAACGCGCAGGCUCUCGGCAAAGAACUGCUGACUUUUUUUAUUCUUUUUGAAUUUAGAGCUGAGUUUUUUUUUUUGUCCUUGUGACUCAAUUUCUAAAUACAUUUUAAAAUUUGGCAUUAAUUUGACUUUUUUUGCUAUAUUUAACUAAUUAAUCUUGUUUCUUUAUAUUUUUUCACAUAAUUCAAAUUUCAACUGUAGGUACAUGAAAUAUUACAACUCAAUGAUUCGAAAAAUGAUAGUCAAGAUAUUUGGUGUACGUUGAGGUCGUAACCACAACCACACAUGAAAUCUCAACCCUCUCGCUAACAUAACAUGUCAAGGAAUGUGAGGGAAAAUGGAUUUAUAAUUAUAUAAAUUUCAAAUAAACUCCAAAAAUCACGAAACUUGGCGACGUGUCGUGUUAUCGCAUGUGGAGGCUGUGGUAAAAAAUUCAUAAGGUUCCGAGCAAGUUGCGACACCGGAUGUCUAAAACCCAGACAUCUCCACAUGUUAUCGAAUGUGAUCACAUGCGGAGAUGUCUGGGUUUUAGACAUCUCGUGUCGCAACUUACUCGAAACCUUAUGAUUUUUUUACCACAGUCUCCACAUGCCAUAACAUGACACAUCGUCAAGUUUCGUGAUUUUUGGACUUCAUUUGGAAUUUAUAUAAUUAAAAAUCACUUGUACGACACAUGGAUGGUCAUGUUUUAUAUACAAGAAAUUCAAACUCUUGGGUGAGUUUAUGGAUACAACAUCAAAAUGCAGUCUUGAACAUGAGUAUAAUUUUUUGAAUGACUAUAUUUUAUUAUUUCAUGCUCCUACAGUUCAAAAUUACUUUUUCGAGAAAAAUACAAAUAAAAUAAUUUAAUUAAAAAAUAUAGCAAAAUGUUAUAAAAAGCUCUCAAAUUUGAACAUGUGCUUAUAUACAAUAUGUAAGGGUUACAGAAAAAGUUUGAGUACAAAACUAAAAAAAAUCUUUCUUCUUUGCCGAGAGCUUGACAAGGCACUUGGCAAAGGCCUCCUCUUUGCCGAGAGCCUAACGCCGUGGCUCUCGGCAAAGGUGACGACAACGGUUGCCGUUACCAGCGCUGCUCCUUUGCCGAGAGCCUAUCUUUGCCGAGAGCUAGGCUGUCGGCAAAGCUAGCCUUUGCCGAGGGCUUGCCUUUGCCGAGAGCUUGACCAUCGGUAAAGUUUCUUUGCCGAGGGUCGUUUCUGACUGUCGGCAAAGGCAGUCUUUGCCGAGGGCUAGCUCUCGGCAAAGCUGAGCCCUCGGCAAAGCUCUCGUUUCCUGUAGUGUGGGCUUUGAAUUGAUCGAUGGCAAAAAGCCGUAAUGGAAGCACGUCGCGUCUUGAAUGCAUGCACUAUAUAGGAAUAUAGCUACACAAAAGAAGAGAAAUAAUGACACACAUAGUAGUAGCUAGCUAGUAAAGUGUGUAUGUAAGGCCUUGUUUAGUUCCCAGAAAAUUUUGCAAAAUUUUUCACGGUCCCCGUCACAUCGAAUCUUUAAACGCAUACAUAAAGUAUUAAAUAUAGACGAAAAUAAAAACUAAUUGCACAGUUUGGUCGAAAUAGACGAAACGAAUCUUUUGAGCCUAGUUAGUCCAUGAUUGGAUAAUAUUUGUCAAAUACAAACGAAAGUGCUACAGUGUCGAUUUUGCAAAAUUUUUCGGAACUAAACAAGGCCUAAACCUAAAAGCCCAUGCAUUAUUGCUUUUUAAAAAGUUAAAGCGGUGAUGGAUGGUUUUGUUCAUGGCUCGAGGAGGAUGUGUCCUAGCUAGUUGUUGGUGGGGGAGGUGAGAGUACCUAGGAAAAUUUGCUUACAUUUUCCUGUACAUGCAUGCAUGCAACGCUAAUUGGAUGGAUAUGGUCGGAACAUGCAUGGGUCCACCAUUCACAUCUCUUGGUCCUACACGCACGCCUACUAUUGUGAUGCGUCUCAGCUUUUUAAUGUGCCUGCGUUGCAUGCAUGCAGCUGGGUACGUAAGGACACGCCGCAAGCUGCCCAAACUCUAGCUCUGCUUCCCGCAUUGCAUUGCAUUGUAUCUACCUCGUGGCGCAUUAGGGUUAGAGAGAGAGAGAGAGAGAGAGAGAGAGAGAGAGAGAGAGAGAGAGAGAGAGAGAGAGAGAAGUGUGGUAUAGCUAGCAUGCAUCCAUAUAUAUCCGAUCGACCUGUAGUUCAUGGCACAUUCAUUAGGUUUGGAAGAGUGAGAUCGAGGCAGGACGAUAUGUAGUACGUCGUCGUCCUUCGUAUAAACGGACAUUCGCUCAAUGUUGAAUUGUUGACAGACGACGAUGCGCGCGGCACUUUGUUUGACCAUGCAUGCAUUCAUCCGUGCAUGCAUGGAGCGUCUAUGUGCUUGUCCCUGAAUAAACUAAUUAAUCACUGCACGAACUCGAUCGCCUUGCUGUCAACUUAGCUUAGCUUAUUACAAGUGUGUUAACGACAAGCAAUCAUGGAAAUGAGCUGCAUAUAGACACUGUUCACAAUGCACGUUAUGUUGGAGCACUAGCUAUAGCUAAUUAAUGAGCCAGCAAUUAACAAAACGCCUGCUAAACCAAAAUAUGCAUUUAAGCCAUGUUUCGUUUCCUCCGGUAAAGUUUAACUCCUGUCAUAUCGAGUGUUUGGACACAUGCAUUAAAUAUUAAAUAUAAAUUAUUUACAAAACUAAAAUAAAACUAGAGAGUAAUUUGCGAAAUAAAUCUUUUAAAUCUAGUUAGUCUAUAAUUAGAUACUAAUUGUCAAAUAAAACAGAAAUAUGCUAUAUGCUACAGUACAUCCUUAACCGGCAAGUACAGGCCGGGUGAGGCAUGUCGGAUGCUAGAGAUGGCCAAAUGGGCUAAGCCCAAUAAUACGCAGCCUAAGCACAUAUGGGCCUACUAAAGCAUCGCAUUACAUUAUGGGUCGAGCCACUAUGUGUCUCGUGCCCUUUUUUACCAUUCAAAAUGGGUGCUCUCAGGAUGGAUCAUAAUUAUGCCCCUUUUUAAUUCGAGAGCAAUGUUGAUCAAAUUUCGUCGUAGUUGCAGCACAGCCAAAAAAAAAAACUAACAAAAAGAGCCUGUCAGACAACCCAUGGGCCAUCCCAGCCAGGCAAGCCUGGCCGGAAACGAUCAUCUACAGCACCGGACAAAGCGUCAGAGCCAAUCCUGGCCGUUAAUCACGCUCUGGCCCACAGGUCAUGGCUCAUCAACCAGGCUUAAGUGCUUGCCUCCUUAUUAAUCAAGGAUGCAGCGGUACGAUCCUAUAGAACAGAUCCUGUUCAAGUAAGGUCGU